AGAAGCGCGAGACGUGCGCGCGCCCUCUAUCUCGCCACCGCUGCCGCCUCCUACUGCUGGCCGUGGUGCUGCUUGUGUGCUCCUUCGGCGGACCUGGUACCUCUUUUGUGAAGCGGCAGCUAAGAAGACUGGCGCUCGCUAUGGCCGACGAAAAGCCUAAGGAAGGAGUCAAGACUGAGAAGAACAACGACCUUAUUAAUUUGAAGGUGGCAUUUGAAGGUGGUGGGGCAGGAUGGUUCUGUGGUGCAGUUUAAGAUUAAGAGGCAUACACCACUUAGUAAACUAAUGAAAGCCUAUUGUGAAUGACAGUUGAGAUGGCCACAUCCUCAGGAAGAUUUGGUGCAUAUGCCUUCGUCCCAGUGGCUGUGGGCUUCACAUUCGGGGCUGCUUUUGUCUACCUGGCUGACCUCCUGAUGCCUCACCUGUCUUUCCAAUUCAAGAGACUUCGCGAGAAUGUUCUCCAGUACUGUGAGUGACACAUGCGUCUGUCCCAAGUCCCUGAAGAAGAAAGUCAGACAGAAAUGAGGAAACCCAACGCAAAUAGUCCAUGCUUCAGCAGAGCUGUGUUGUAAUAUAUGGAGGACCAUGUGCUGAGAGCGCAAUCCUGUUGGCAGAUGGCAGAAAGAGGAGUGACUUUCAGACUCAUCCUUGACAAGGUCAGAGGGAGUCAGUGGUGGGACUGGGAGCCACGCGGCUCGUUCUUACAUGGUGAGCUUCCCCAUUUAGUGCAUUCUUCCAGAUAUGGUUUAACUUGCUUCAUUUGUUUUGUUUUGUGCAUUUUUUUUGUCUUUUUCAUUUUUAUGGGUACCAGGGAUCGAACUCACGACCACACACUUGCAAGGAAGGCGCUUAUGCUGCUGAGCUAAAUCCCCAGCCCCUUUUGUUUUGUUUUUUAAUUUUUUAAAAAAAUUUUACUUAAGGAGAAAAAGAAAAAAAAACAGAAAAAGGGUACAAGUUAUACAGAAUUUCAAAAACAAACAGGAGAUCACUAGUUAAUAGAUUACAUAUUGUCAUCUUAGAAAUAGUUGUUCAGGUUACAAAAUGAAAGCCUAAAAAGUGGACAUUCAAACAGUGAGACUGUAAACAGUACUGUUGAGUGACCCAACAAAAACUUAGUAAUAUAGUUAUCUAUCUUAUACACUUAAAUAUACAUGCAGUUAUAUCCUUUAGAGCACUUCCUUUUCCUCUCUUUUUUACAAUGACAAUUACAACUUUUGGGUUUUAUUACUCCCACAGUUCUUAUUAUUUUUUUUUGAAGAGAAUAAAACCAAAUGUGACAUAACAAAACAGUCAGUGAAAUCAAAAGGAUGGACAUAGUUCAUAAUGUAAAAACAGAAUACAAGGUGAUCAACAAUGGUUCUCAUAAUGCCUCUUGCUAUCUUAAAAGAAGUGCCUAUAUCAUUAGUUAUAAUAAAAUUGAACAAAACAGUAAAGAACAAAACCAAUAAAACCAAAACAUUGGACACAUUAGAGGACUUUAAAAGAAGAUAAUAGUCAAACCAGAAUGGGCAUCAUAGUGAAUCUUAUUGUCUUCACAGUUGUUGCCUAUGCUCUCAAACUUGGUACUAUCAAGCAAAACAAAUAGAGUAAAAUCAGUCAAAACAAGAUGGUGAGAGCAAUACUGGGUUUCAAAUCAAGUUAAUAGGAAAUAAAAGUGGGUUACUAUAAUAUAUCCCGCUAUUUUUAAUUUAUUUUUCCCUUAAUUAAAAAGAUAAAAAUAUAAUAAAAAAGGAGAUUGAGAUAAAAGAGGACAUAACAACAAAACAGCACAGAUCAGAGCAUAACCAUUUAAGCAAAAUAGUGUUUCACCACAAGAUAUCCCGACAUAAAAGUAGUUACCAUAGCGUCUCUUUCCCUGAAAUCUUUGAGUAUAACUUCGUAUACUAUAGCAUCAAACAUAUCAAGACAAUGUAAAACCAUUCAAGAGAAUGACAGUAUUACAGGGUAUUUAGAACCAACUAACAGAAAAUGAACAAUGGUUUCUGUAUUAUCUCCUUGUCUAUAAAAGUUUUUGUUUAUAUUAUCACAUAUACUAAAAUUCAGUAAGAUACAUGUUAAGACCGAUGGAGACAGAAGAACAAAAGCUUGAUGGAACUGCAAAACAAGAUGAUAUUAAAUCAGCACUAGCUAUUAUGAUGUCUUGUUUUCUCCAAAAUAGCUGUUCAUACCAUCCAACCUUCUCUGCCUCAUUUCUGUUGAACUCUUUUUCUGUCAUUAGUUGUCAGUUUGUCUUCUUCAUUUCGCUUUCUGCUCCAUUCAUUGUGGCCUCUCUGCCACUGUUUCUGGAAUCUUGCUAUUUUUCUCUUUUAGGAUGUCCUGCAGUAUUCUCUGUAGAGCUGAAUUGGUGGUUGCAAAUUCUCCUAGUUCCUCUUUAUCCUGGAAGCACCUUUUUUCUCCAUUGAUUUCUAGGGAGAGUUGUGCAGGAUAUAUCAAUCUUGGCUGGAGGUUAUUGUCUUUCAAAGCUUGAAUUAUUUUGCCCUAUGCUCUUCGUGAUUUGAUGGUUUGUGCCGAGAACCUGCUGUAAUUCUGAUGGGUGUUCCCUUGUAAGUGAUGUUUCAUGUCUCUGACAGAUUUCUUUUUGUCUUUCUCUUUUUUUAAUUUUUUAUUGGUACCCGCGAUCGAACUCACAACCACACACUUGCAAGGUAGGCACUUAUGCCCCAUCUCUGACAGCUUUUAAUAUUCUGUUCUUAUAUUGGAUUUCUGGAACUUUUAUUAUUAUAUGCCUGAAUGUAGUUCUGUUUGCGUUGUAGGUGGCUGGGAUCCUGUAUGCCUCAUAGAUCUGAGUAUCUUUACCUUUUCCCCCAUGAAGGAAGUUCUCCUUUAUUAUUCUGUGAAUAAUUUUACAGAAUUUUAUUAUUCUGUGAAUAUUAUUUUGCAGUUCAUUUGUUUGUAUUCGUGCUUCUUCCUUUACAUUCUUAAUUCUUGUUAUAGAGCCUGUUAUCAUCUUCUAGUCUUUGAAUUGUUACUGCUUGUUUCCUUGUUAUUUUUAAGAAAUUUUUCCUUUCAUGCUCCCACAUUACAAAUCUGUCCUCCAGUUCAAAUUAUCUAUCCUUAGUUUCUUUCAAACUGUUAUGCCAACUUUCAAUAGAGUUUUUAGUUUCCUGGUAAUCUCUUUGAACCUGCUUCAUGUAUUCUAUGUUUUCUCUAUUUUCUCCAUCAAACAAUUCUCCCCUUUUUUUCUGUUCUUCCAUUCCACCAUUUGUUUUUUCGUGGGAAGUGCUUAACAUUUCUUUAAGUAUUCUACUUAUAUCUUGCUUUACUUGGGUUAAAUACUUCACUUUUGCACUCGUCUAUGAGUUCCUGGAUAUACCACUUUAUGUCUAUUGGUGCUAUGCCUGAUAUUGCAUGUUUUCUGUCCUCAUUCUCCUUUGCAUUUACCUUUCCUGGAUCAGUGUUCUCAGGAUUGGGGACCGAGGACCCUUUCUUGUUGCUUCCUCUUCCCAUACUUUUUGUUCCUUCCAUACAAGCGUAUAUAGGAGGCUCAUUUUCUUUCUUUGUCAGUUACAGUUUGUUUGAAUCGCGCCGGGUAGCUGUUCCCACCCACUGCAGUGUACUAGGGAGACACAGAUCUGGGCAGCCUAUGCUGGCCCUGCCCCUCCAGGCCAGUCAACAUGCUGAAGGCUUCACUGCAUUAGGGUGCACUGCCAGGUGCAGGGACCUGGUUUGGGCUAGCCUACUGGGUCUUAGUCUGCAGCAUCACCCAGGUCAAUCAUUCCCCACCAGUCCUGCUUGAGAGAGGAAUACGUAACUGAAAUCACUGCAGCGUCCUGUUAUGGCUACUCUGCCCUGUCCCAGAAUGUCCUCUGUUGAGUAUGAUAGUCUAUGGAAGGGUCCCCAUUCCUCUCACUCACCAUAGGUCGAUGCAGGGCUCCCCACCAACUCUGCUCUCAAUUCGGUUUGCCUAUUUCCACUCUCAGAGCUUUCGUGUCUCUAUCUCUGCUGUGCUGAUUCAGAUGCAGCAGCAGCAGCAGGAAAUUCAAGCCGCGGUGUCCAGAGGCACAGGUUCCAGCUUCGGCACUGACACUUUAGCUGUUCCAGUCAUAGCACUGGGAUUAAAUUUCCAGUUGGUUUCUCUCAGCUUAGUUCAUUCCAGGGUCAGCAGGGUACAUCUCCCCCUGCUUAGGACUCCCCACACCACACUGUUCCGGAAUGUAAGCUGGCUAUCUCAGAGAGCCUCCGUAGCUGAUGUUAUCUAUCUGCCAUGUUCUCCCGAAGUUGACCAAUUUGCUUCAUUUGUAACAUUAGUCAGUAUUCAAUGAGAUGAUGUCAUGAAGUGAAAGAUAUGAAUGUCACGUGACUAAUGAGCUCAGUGCUCAAAAUAUAUCUUUAAAGAGGCCACUCACUGCUGGGCUCUGUGAAAGCAGCUUCUCCAACCCUACCUACCUCCCUGCUUCCUUUCCCCCAGCCACUAAGAAUGACUGUGAAGGCAAGGCCCAGUGGGGCAGGCCUGUGGUCCCAGCACUAUAGGGGGCUGAGGCCCGAGGUCAAAAGUCUGACCUAGCCCAGAUAAUUUAGCAAUUUCAGGAAACCUUGUUUCUAAAUAAAAAGACUGAGGAUGUGGCUCAGUGCAAAAGCACUCGGUUUAAUCCCCAGUACCACAAAGGGCAAUAAAAAUGACUAUAGAUUUUGUCUACCCUGGCCAGUCAACAGUAAACCUUCAGAUGCUCACAACUGUCAUGGCCAGGCCAAGAACUCUACAAGUGUCAAAUUAGUAGAAAUCAGUUGGAGCUCUGUGUUCUAAAGGCUCACUGAAGAUAGAAACCAACUCCAAAGUACAGUCGAAGUACAAAAAGCCAAAUUGUUAUGUCAGUUCCUAGUACAAGGGAACAAAAGCUGCAUAGAAAAUUGUGUGCAAAGCUGAGUAGUUCUACCACUCAUGAAUGGUGUGCACCUGACUGAGUUAGCCAUGGCUUCUGAGUCCAGCUUCCUCAUCUUUGAAUUAGGGGAAUAAUAGUAGCACUGCAAGAGUUGUUGGGAAAAUGACACUAAAGUAACAUAUUUGAGUGUUUGCCACAUGCUAAGUACCAGUUCAAGAGUGUUCAGUGUGUUAUCUCAUUAGCAUAUCUACUUAAUGUAGUGCCUGGAACUUAACAGACACCUGAUAAAUGUAGCAUUAAAGAAAUGUGACAGGAAGAGGAAGAACUACUAAACUUCCAAGAGUAGAGACAUUGCCUUGUUGGAGAAGGAAGGUGAAGUAAUUGCUGGAUGUUAACACCCAAAUCUUUUAAGCUUUACAAAUUAAAGAGCCAAAGUGUGUCAGCUCAAAGGACAAACCUGAGUUGAUAUUGAAGGACCAGAAAUUUAAAGGUUAAAAACAAGAUGCUGUUUCUCAGCUAGAAGUAGCUCUGGGCCUCAUGGCUUAGUCCAAACUCAGCAACUAGGGAGGAUCAAAAAGAAAAUAUCUGCAGCUGUGAUAUUCUUGGGCUGUGCUGUGCCAGGGAACUCAGAGAUAGAGCCUGCCAUUACGCUAAUCAGGGUUGUAAAAACAUGUCAAACUCGAGCCGUAGAGAAACCAGGUGUCCUAAAGAUAAGUUGUGUAGAACAAGACAGUUAAUUAACUCUGACCCGCUGGUCACCCCUUAUGAGCUGACCAACCACAAAUAAGUAAACUGCUGACUAUCCCGCUCUAACUGCUGUGAUUGGCUUCGGAAAAAAAAUGCUUGCUUUGCGAUUUUUUCCCUUAAAAGCACCUGCCUCACCUACACUCAGGGCCCUCUGUUCCCGCUUGUACGGAGGACCCCAUGCGCACGGACCAAUAAAGACCCCUUUGUUCUUGCAUGAGAGCGGAGCCCUUGGAGUCUCCUUUGCAACACCGGUCAUACAAUAUUUUGAUCUGUCACGUGUCUGCCUGUGAAGCUAGAAAGAACUGCCAAGGGCCCGGUACAGACUGGCAGUGUAUGCACCGAGAUGAGCGAACAUCAAUACUUCAGCUGGGACAGACUUAGAUUUUCCCCUGUUCUCUCUUAGAUCAGUUGUUGACUGACCCUAGACAAGCCAGCAUGUGAAUAUACUCUACAUAUGUCAGGGUCUUUCUACUGUAUAAAGUCUUCUCAGUAUGUAAAAGCAUAGACCUUCAUUUUAGAGAUGGAGGCAGGUGGAUUGCCUCAAUUUCAAGGCCAGCUUGGGCUCCAAAGUGAGCUCAAGUCCAGGCUGGAAUACAUACCAAGAUCCUGUUUCAAAAAUAAUAAAAAACUAAAUGGAGGAUAUUGUAAUGUUAGAACCGAUGAAGUGACUGAAAGAAUUUUCAAAAACCAGCCAUCAGUGUGGACUUGUGUUGUGGAAUGCAGGAGAAAUGCUUGAAAGUUGGGGGUGGGGAGAGUACACUUAACAUUUAGGAAUGUCAACACUGCCAGUUUUUCAUAAUAUAUUUCAAUCCUGAUUUUUCUGAGGUAGCAAGGUUUCACAGUUAAUAAAGGAAGAUAAAUGCUCUGCAGAGUGAGUGUGGGCCAACUGAAAGCAGGAAAGUACAGUACACUACAGGGUGAGAGGAGCACUGUGACACAGCACAGUGGCUUUGUCAUCUUGCAGAUGUGAGUCUUCCUACCACUCAAAGAGUGGCACCUUACUACUGAGUUCUUGGCAUAUCUUUGAGGUGGAUUUCAGAUUCAAGUCCGACUGACACCAACACAUUGCUAAUUACUGUUUCAAUUUUGUCAGUAAUGCAAAGGCUCUAUCAAAGAGAUUUAACUACCUGGAGUAUAAUUCCCUGGAACCCAGGGAUGAAACCAGACUUAGCGGGGCCUGAAUCUUAUGAAAUUUGCAAAGUGCCUUUUAAUGAAAAAGUAUGCAAAAUGUAUGCAUACAGAAAUUUCCAGGACCCCGCCCAGGACAUUGGAAGUGUCCUGUGCAAGUGAGGAGCCCCAGGGCUUCACUUCCACUCAACUCAUGAUAAAUCCAUCUUAGCUGAGGCAUUUGUAUAGCACGGAAAAAUACUUCAACUGAUAAUGAGCUCCAGACUGAACAUUUUGGUCAUAAAAGUAUUGGCAUCCUAGCUUGGCAACUUCCCUUUGAAAAGAGAUUCGGGGGCUGGGGAUUUAGCUCAGUGGCAUAAGCACCUGCCUUGCAAGCAGGCAGGCAUAGUUUGAUCCCUGGUACCGAUAAAAAUGAAAAAAAGCAAAAAGAAAAGAGAUGCAAUAGGCUUCUGUCUCACUGUGGUGAUGGUCAGCUAGCUUUGUCUCCUGGGAAACUUGAACCCAAAGCCCAGGUACCCAGUCUCAAACACACACUUGGUGGAUUGUGACCAUUAUGUUGAUCUUUUUACUUUGUCAGGAGAAACAGGGCCUUGAUAUACUGCGGCAGCUGGCCCCCAACUUCUGAGCUUAAAUGAUCCUCCUGCCUCAGCCUUUCUGAUUAGCUGGCACUACAGGUACAUGCUACAGUUGACUUAGUGUGCAAAUCUACUGAAGUAACUGUUAAGUAGUUUGAGAGGCAGGGCUCUAUCCACAGGGAGUGUGAACAUUAAUGUCUAGCACCACUUAGCUCUCACUUUCUCAUCUCCAGGAAGCAACUGCCUUUCUGUUAAGAAAAAUCUUAACAUCGGAUGUCACAAUUCGCUGUCUGCUUCCUUAUGAGUCUUUUCUAAUGCACCACCUCUCCCCCACUUUCCUUCAAAAGCAAACCUUCAGUAUCUCCCAAGCUGUGCAUCGCCAGGUUGACAAGGGGAGUGAGGAGUUCACUCAGGUUGAGGAUGCAGGUGAAGUUAACCAGCUCCAGAUGCAUCCUAAACCUCCCUCCAGGGAUUUAAAAAUAAACUGUGUGAACCUGUACUUUGGACCACAAGACAGGUGGGAAGUCUUUCCCAACUCAGGUGGAUAUGGGAAUUUUCAUCUUGAGUCUAAAAUCACCUUCAGGCUGUUAAAUGUUAACUGAAAGAAAUAAAGCCUGCACUUCUUAUCAAAGGGAGCAGGAGAGAAAACAUAAGGAAUUAGACUAGAGAAAUGUAUUUUUAUAGUUAUUUUUCACACUACCUCUUAUCACAAACACCUACCUGUUGGACAUUUUGAAGGUUCUUAUCGCACACAGAUAAUUCAUAACUUCAGAAGUCAAUACUUUUUGAAAAAUAACAUUGUGGGUGGUUAGGGAGAGAAGUACCUGGUGGCAGGCUUUCAGGAAUUUUUUCUACUUUCCCAUUUAGUAGACACCGGCACUGAAAAAGCUUUGGUACCUCUUACUUCUUGUAGAACCUUAUAUUAAACUUCAUUCUUUGAAGUUCUCUAGUGUAUAUAUUUGAAUAGUUAGAACUCUGAAUGUGAGAAGGAAGCAAGUGGAAUUUCAAGGAACACUCACAGCAUUCACAACAGCCCUGAGCUCCAAACGAUGCUAAUUUGAGUGUUACUUGUGUGACAACUUGUAUUGCUCAUGCCAAAGACCAGUACCUGAAAAUGCAGAGCAGAUUACCUAGAAGUUAAAGAAGUCAGCUUGCUCAUCUCCAGGAAGCAAUUGCUUUCUGGUAAGAAAAACCCACAUGCCUCUAAUCCCAGCACUCAGGAGAUUAUGGCAGGACAAAUUUAAGUUUGAGGCCAGCGUGGACUGCGUAGCAAGACCCUGUCAUCAAAAAUGUUGUAUCAAAUCCUUUGGCCUCUUUGCACCUUAGUUUCUUCAUUUGAAAAUAAUGAAUGGAGUCUUUGGCUAUACCACCCUGGAUACUCGUGGUCUCAUCUAAAAGUAAUUAGUCGAUCUUAUGACUUACUUUUUAGAGUUCUUAACAGGAUCCAGCUAAUGAAUAAGUGCAUGAAGCUGGUAAAUAGAUUUGGUUUUCAUAGUUUUUGUUUUUACAUGCUUUUAUCAUUUAUUUCACUUACACUUGGUGUAAAAACUGCAUUCCAUGCCAUGCUUGAAAUGUUCCAAAGCUCACUUCUGUGAUUAAAUUGCAACGAAGAUUUCUAGAAAAAGAAAAGACAUAAUUGAAAGAAUAAAGAGGUUCUUUCUGAACAUUUCUUAUUUGGCAGUUAUUCCAAUUUAUAUAUGAUGAAACAUCACUUGCAAUACUGUUUCCAUACACUAAAGAAAUCUCACUGGAAGAUGCUGGCUUAUAACUUACACUUUCCUAUUUACAUGUGAAAUGCACUAGAUAUAAAAGAGUGAAAGCUUAAUAAAUUCUUGUGCUGAGCAAUCUUUUUUGCUCUUGAACAACACUUUACAGGUUCCGCACUAGUGACGUUUGGAGCUGGCUGAUUCUUUGAAUGUCUGACUGAACACAGUAGCAUGCUUAGCAGCAUCCCUGAUCUCUGCCCCCUUGAUUCCAAUAGCAGUUGUCGCCUCCAUGCAAAAUCAAACCAACUGAGAAUCAUUGCUCUGUAGUGCCUCUCUCUGACCUGUGCAAUAAUCUUUAUAAUAUACUUUGGUAGAGGUUUAAAGGAUUUCCAAAUGAGUAGCAAAGAGACUUACAAGACUGUAAAUAUAAUGAAGUUAUAUUUUCAACUUACAAGAACUGUAAAAAAAGUAGUGCUUCAAAUGUAUUUCUUUCAAUAAACUGUAUUUUAUUGCAUGAUAAAUCUCUGGAAUAAGGAAAAGGAAAACAUUGCAUUAAAUAACUAAUAAGUAUCUAAGUGGUAUGAAUAUUAGACUUUAGAAUUGGAAAUAUUGCAAACUUUCUUUGUCAAAAUCUUGGGCUUGUAUGUGAACAUUUUAUACCCUAUGCCCUGUCUCUAAUUCCUUUAGGACUCUCACCUUCAAGAUAUUUGUAAAUAAAAUAUACAAUUGUUAGAUUGUUUUUUGUUGUUUUUCAGUUCUAAAUUAGGUAGUCCUGGCUGGCCUUGAACUUACUGUGUAGCUCUGGCUGGUCUCAGACUCACCAUGCUCUUGUCUCCUCCUCCUAAGUGCUAAGACUGCAAGUGUACUACUUAAUUGCUUUUACUUCUUCCCCUCAUUUUGUGACAGAGCUUUGCUGUGCCAUUCAGGCUGGCCCUGAACUCACUUUGUCGUCCAGGCAAGCCUCAAACUUGCAGCAAUCCUCAUUCCUCACUCUUUUGAGUGCUAGGAUUACACGUGUUGCACCAUGAAGUCUAGCUCUCAAUUUCUUUCUUGUUUAUUUUAAAGAGAAUAAAACAAAACAAAACAGAAGAAAGCAAAUAAGAACAGAACAGUUCAAGGCAUAAAGGACUUCUAAACAAGACACUGGGAAAUUACUAAUGUCUACCAUAAUGUCUCCAUUUUGUUCAAAAUAGCUUGUGCUUAUCAUUACAUGCAAUAAAAUCAAACAAAAGAAAACAGAACAAAACCAAUCAAAAUAAAAGAAUGAAAGACUUCAAGGUGAUAGGAAAUCAACAGUGGCUUCCAUAAUGUAUUAUUUUUUUCAAAAUCAUCAUCCAAUCAAAACAAAAGAAUAAAAGCAUUAUAGAACUUCAAAACAAGAUAAUAGGAAACCAGCAAUAGUUACUGCAAUACGUCCUGUGACCUUCAAAAUAGCUGCCCAUAUCAGGCACAGUAAGAUGUAACAAGGCAGAACAAAAAUCAAAUCUAAGAAAAUUUUGAAAAUUAUACAAGAAUUCAAACCAGGAUCAUCAAAAAUUAACAGUUAUUACUACUUUCCUUUUUUAGGCAUUUUCUCCACCGUCAGUGUCAUAAUAUCUAAUGUGCCAUUCGGAUCCCACUAACUCCUUCGGUUUUUUGUGCUAGGAGAUAGCUUGGUUUUCACCUGUAUGGGUCCAAACCAUUUCACCCAUGAACAUGAUCUCAGUUGUAACCAUUUCCCUACAAGAGCCUCAAGAUUAUCCUACUUUAUAGCUAGGCAGCUUUCCAUUGUAUGAAUAUACCAUAUUUUUCUUACCCAUUCUGCCAUUCAUGGGCAAGUUACUCUUGCUUUUUUGUGGUCUCUUGUCCCAUGGAACAAUUGUUUUCUUUCCUUUGAUUUUUAGUCUAUGAAUACAAGUGUGCCACAGGUUUGCCACCAAUAGGGCCUCCAAAGUUUCAUAAUUCCGGAGACUUUUUGGCUCCAUGUAAUAAAAGUACUUUAUGCCUACUUUCUUCAAGCCUUCUACAUUUGAAAAAAGGCGCUAUUUGCCAAAAUACCACAAAUUAGUUUAAUUACCUUUAAUGAUAUUUACACUUCUGGACCUACUGGACCAGAAACCAAACCAAACCAAACACAAAACAAAACAAAAAAAAUAUAUCAAGCUUUCACACCAAAGAACACAGUAUCUUACUUUCUAUAAACAGAUAAAAGCACUAUGCAAGUAUUUCCUCCUUGACAACAAGGCUGCAGAGAUGUUAUUUAAACAUUUCCAGCGAUAGCAUUUUUUUGUCUUUUUUUUGAGACAGGGUCAUGCUAUGCAGUUCAAGCUGGCCUUGGGCUCACUUUGUAACCCAGGCUGGUCUUGAACUUGCUAUGAUCCUCCUGUGUCAGCCUCCCAAAUGCUGGGAUUUCAGGAGUAUACCACCACACUAUACCAUUUAAUCACCAUUUUAAACACUUGUUUUUAAGAUGGGUAUAACAAUUCCAGCACUGAAAUGCAGGCAGUCAAGUCUUCUAGUAGCUUAACCAUCUGGAUAAUAUUACAUUUUACCUGCCUAGUUAAUCAUUUAAUACUUUAAAGACUUGUUUAAUACUUUAGGUGUUACUUUCAUUCAGAUUCAAUCGUCUUAAGCACCCUGGGUUAAUGGCGCUCCAGUUAGCACAGGCGGUCUAUUCAGUACGUUCUGGUCCUCUAGGCAGCACUAUAAAGUUAACUUUAAUUAUUUUGUUCUGAUUCAAAUUUUUCAAACCUUUAUUGUAAAUACCAUAUAGCAAGUACUUACAGACUUUGCAGGUCAGAUACAGUCUCUAUUGUAUAUAGUGGUGAGAGGUUUGUUUCUUUUUUGUACUGGGAAUUGAACUCUCAAAUUUACAACCUCACACUUGCCAGGCAGGUGCUGUACUACUCGCUGUAUCCCCACCCUCCUUUUUUAUAAACCCUUAAAAAUGAAAACAUGACAAAAACAUAAUGAAUUUAUGAGAUAAUAAAAAAGACUGUGGAUCAAUUGGAUCGAUGGCCUAUAUGGUAAAUACAAAUAUAAGCCAAUGGCACAUAAGCACUAAUAAACCAAGGUUCAUAUUAUAACACAAUUAAGUGCUCAGAUCUUAUUACCACUUUUCCUGUGUAAGUUGGGUUUUUCCCAUUUGUAUGUUAUGAUUUAAAAAGUGAAAAUGUGCAUAGCGUAUUUGAUGAUAGACAUAGACUGAGACCUAUACAAACUUGCACACUUACAGCAUUUUAUUUCUGGAAGAGAUUCUGGAGAAUAUAUAAUUAGAACUGCCUCCUCAUUUUACAGAUAACUCUAAACUCAAAUAAAUAUGAUUAACUAACUUACAAAUACUGGAGGUUUAGCAGGCCUUCAAAGGAAUCCUUAUGUAGUUCGGUGAUGUAAUUUUCACUGAGAUUUCUGGAAGAUGAAAAGGUUAUUUGAAUCACACUUCCUCAGAAACCUGAAGGAUAUACAGUGAUGAAAAAGCAUGAGGAAAUGAGCACUGUCAGGUCCUGCUACGUGGAGUGUACCUAGAGCAAUUAAAGUCUCGUAUCUAAAACAAUCUCAUGCCAACAAUCCCCUUUGUAGGCACUUGUUCUAGAGAAAUAUUUGCCCAUGGUCACAAAGAAUCAUCAACAACAUGUUCAUUGUGUGGUACAGGUAACAAGAAAGCUGGAGAGGACUGGGGAUGUAGCUCAAUGGCAUAAGCAUCUGCCUGGCAGGUGCAAGGUCCUGAGUUCAAUUCCAGGUGCCAAAAGAAGAGACAACAAAAAGAAACCUGGAGAGACACCUCCCAAAUAAGAGACCUGACCAAAAAAUGGGCAACUAAAAUGAAUAGACACGUCUCAGAAGUAUGAACAGCUGAUAAAUACUUGAAAAAAUGCUCAAUAACUAUGGCCAUUAGAGUGUUAUAAAGUAAUAAAAUUUCACCUUAUCCCACAAAGAGUGGUUACCAGCAGGAAGACAAACAAGAAAAAAUGGUAGUGAGGUUAUAGGGAAAAAAACACUUCUAAACUAGUACAAUCACUAUGGGUAUCAGUGUGUAGUUGCCUCUAAAAACAACUAGAAAUUCCACUUGACCCAGUUAUUCCCCAUCUAGGUAUUUUCCCAGAAGAAUUAAAGGCAUCAUGUUACAUUGAUGAAUUCAUAGUCAUGUUUGUAGCAGCACAAUUCAUAAUAGCUAAACCUUGGAAGGGGCCGCUAUGUGUAUUGACAGAUAAUGGAUAAAAACAAUGUAUUUAUACACAGUGCAGUACUCUGCCAUAAAGAGAAAGAAACUCCAGCCUUUUAAAGAAAUCAAACACACAUUUAACUAUCUCAAAGGUUCUCUUAUUUGAGAAACCCAAAGUCUAAAUAAAGAGCAAAGUUAAAGAUAAUAGGAAAAAGGGGGAUAGAUCUCAGAAAGUAGAUGAUUAAGAGAUGGAGGUAAGGGACAUGGAGAACUGGGGAUGAGAAAAAGAAUUGAGAUGUAUGGUAUCAUGUACAUGUGCCAAUUGCCCAUGAGGAUUGUAAUCAUCAUAUACUGCAGUGCACUAAUUUUAAAAAAUAAAAAAAUUCUGGAUAUACUCUAAACAUCCAUCAAUAGGGAUAUUAUUUAAUACACCAUGACACCCAGGCAUGGUGGUGCACCUCUAAUCCCAGCACUUGGGAGACUGAGGCAGGAAGAUGGGCGACAUAGGUGAAUUCAAGAUUAUCUUGUAUUACAUAGCAAGAUCCUGUCUCAAAAAACAAACAACCCUAAAUUAAGACAAAAUGAAUAUAUCGUGAGAGCUGGGGUGGUGCAUGCCUGUUAUCCCAGCCCUCAAGAAGUUGAGGAAGCAGAACUGCCAUGAGAUCAAGGCCAGCUUGCACUAUAUGGUGAGACUCAUUUCAAAACAAACAAAAAUACACACUAUGGAAUAUUGUAGGAGUGUAAGUGAGUGGGUAACCCACUAUCUGUGGGGUAGGAGAGAACUCUGGUGUAUCAAAAGUGAGAGACUCAUGUUGCAGGGUAGUACUGUUAAGGUAAAAAAAAAAAAAAAGACAGCCACCUGACAACCCUAUUUCACUGUAUGUCAGUAUGUGUGUAGGCAAAUGCAUGGGAAACAUCAGGAAAGAUACACAUCAGACCAAAACUAGUGAUUACCUCACUGAUGGAUCAUUAGAGCAUACGGAAGUUCUUUAUUUACCUUUCAUUUCAUUUUGCUUCAUUAAGAAUGUAAUCACAUUCUCCUUGUAUAAAAAAAUUUCAAUUGUUUCUUUCCAUGAGGAUCUAUGAAGGCUGGGAAUUUAGCACAGCGGCAUGAGCACCUGCCUGGUGAUUGUAAGGUUAUGAGUUUGAUCCCCGGUACCAAAAUACACAAAACGAAAAGAUAAAAAAAAAAAAAGAAGAAGACAGAAAGAAUAAAGAAAUUGCUCACCAAGAAGGUCUAUGAAAUUUAAUUGUCCUUGUCUUUGCCCUCCCCCCCCUUUACUUCUGGAGCUCAGGUUUGAACCCAUGGACUCACACAUGCUAAGGAACUGUUUAACCACUGAGCUACACUCCCAAUCCAUGUGAAGGUUUAUCUUUAUCCAUAUAGUUUCAAUUUCAAUCAAGUGAGCUUAAUCUGACAUAAGAUUGGGAAAUACCUUUCCUCAGAAGUGUUGACCUCAAUAUUGUGAACUAAGGAGAAUCUUAGUUUUUGUUUGAAGAUUUUGUAUUCAUAUAUGAACAGAAUAUACUCACAGUUUCUCAGCCCAACGGUAUGUUGUCCAUGCCCUUUCUUGAAUGGUAUAAAUAGAGUUUCCUUGAAAAUUUCUGUGAAGAAACAGUUUAUUUCUUUGAAUAACUGGGAAAGGAAUGAGCAGAAAAAGUAAAAGAAUCCUGAAAGUCUCCAGGAUAUUCAAACACAGAGACAAUAACAGCUUUUCAUUUCCAGAACUAACAGCUCCCCAGUUUGCACAAGACAGUCAGACUAUGGAGCAGCCAGCACAAAUGAUGAGACUUCUGCUCAGCAGCUCAGCUUCCUAUCUGUCCAGUCUCCUGGAUUAAUGAUGUCAGUCACUUUAAGUGUUUUUCCCAAAAUCACUUGGGUACAAGAUGAUUCCUACAAAUCAAUAAGUAAAUAAAAAAUCAUUCAACAGAAAAAUGCGCCAAAAUGCAUCAUUAUUAGUGAGUAAGAAUAAAGCAAGCCUCUGCCAGCUGGUGCCAAAGCUUUGGCUCGGUACCCUUUGUGGAAGCUCUGCAGGCAGUGGAAGGAUAAGGGCAAGAGCAGCGUAGAGGAACUAAGGGCAAAAUUGCAGAGGAGGAGGAGGAACCCACACAAAACUGGCACCAGGGCUUAUCUCCUGUGUGACAGGGUGAGGGAGACAGGUGGUCAAGCAUAUAAGGGUAGGGAUCUCACACUAUUCCAUACACAUCUCUGACUCGUUUUUAAAGGAGGUCUAUCAUGCAUUGACAAGAAGUUAUUAGGUCAGGAGUAGGGGAGCAUGCCUGUGAUCACAGCACUCAGGAAGCUGAGGCAUGAAGAUACCAAUGAGCUUGAGGCCAACCUGCCUCGAACCAGGGUUCAGUUCCAAUUUUGCGGAAACUCAUUCUUUAUCCGUCAGCAACAACUUUCCUGUUCAGUUUGCAUAUACUUUUCCUGAGGAUGGCGGGAAAGCAAUCAGUCUGCUCAUGUGCCUAGUGAACAUUUCCAUGUGACCAGAUGCAUUCUCAUUGCUCUGCGCUCACCACGACCUCAAACAGAACUUGUGCCCCUCAAGCUGGCUCUCCUCCCUGCUUGGGGCUGCCACCUAUGACACCUCCACCACUCUCAGCUCCACACAGCAUGGAGACGGGAGCUCACUGGAGUUUGCACUUCUCUGUUCACUCUACCCCCAGCUGUUUACUGGCCACUUGGUCACGCAGUGUUCCAGUGUUCACCCCACUCUCACACUUUACUUACCCUUAUUUAAAGCCUUGAAGGCAGGGUUACAAUUUUUAGCCAAGCUUGGGUAAUUCAGGAAGAUCCUGUCUCAAAAUAUAUAAUGAAAAAAAACAGGAGAAAGAGGGCACAAGUAGUACAAAAGAGAGUAGAGUAAGGAAAAUUGGGAAUUAAGAAGAUAAAAGCAGAAAAUCAAUUUGAACAGGGGACGUGAGGACAGCCUAGGAAGGCCUUGAAGAAAGGGCUGUCACCUCAGGCACAUUGCAGACAACAAAUGAAAACUGAUCCUUACAGGACUGUGAAGGAGUUGAGCUCUAGGACAGGUACUUGGCGCAGCCUUUGCUGUGAGCUGAGACCCGUACAUGACAGGGUCUGGUUUUCACAGGUGCAGAGCUCACAUAUGUUGAUAUUGGUGGUGGUGUCCCGCACUAUUUGUACAGAGUAACGAUUUGUGUUGUGUUCCACAUUCAGUGAUUGAACUGUGACGGGGGUCAAGUUUGGAUGUGAAGCUGUCAACACAGGCUUCGCCAGAGCAGUAGUAGAAUCCUUAUGCUGGGCCAGAGAAGGUUCAGCCUUUGUAGUGAGUGCUGCACUUGUGGUGAGCGCUACUUCCAGUGGUUGGUUGGUUCCAUUACAUGAUGUUGGAGUAUGAGCUGGAUCCUGACCUGGUGGUGUUGACGUUGUCAUUUUAGGUGUGAUUGAUUUAUACCUUGAGGGUUUAUUUACAGCCUUUUUACAUGGCUCUGGAGAUUGAGAAAGCAUCUUCUGAAAAUUUUGGGUGAGUUGAGUUCCUGAAGUAGGUAGAGAAGUUUUGGAAUUGUCCAGGUGCACAACUGGAGUGGUGACAAGAAGCUGGGUUGGUUGUUGAGACUGCACCUGCUCCGAAUGUGUCACCUCAAGAUGUGUCAGAGGAGGAACUAUAACUUCCUGCAGGGUCACAGAAUAUCCAGCUUCCGUAAUGGCUUUUGCACUCAUGGUAGCAGUAGGUAGAGGAGUUUUGGGAUGCUCCAGGUUCACAAAUAGAGUGAUGACAGGAAGCUGGGUUGGUUGCUGAGACUGCACCUGCUCCGAAUGUGUCACCUCAAGAUGUGUCAGAGGAGGACCUAUAACUUCCUGCAGGGUCACAGAAUAUCCAGCUUCCGUAAUGGCUUUUGCACUCAUGGUAGCAGUAGGUAGAGGAGUUUUGGGAUGCUCCAGGUUCACAAGUAGAGUGAUAACAGGAAGCUGGGUUGGUUGCUGAGACUGCACCUGCUCCGAAUGUGUUCCCUCAAGAUGUGUCAGAGGAGGAACUAUAACUUCCUGCAGGGUCACAGAAUAUCCAGCUUCCGUAAUGGCUUUUGCACUCAUGGUAGCAGUAGGUAGAGGAGUUUUGGGAUGCUCCAGGUUCACAAGUAGAGUGAUAACAGGAAGCUGGGUUGGUUGUUGAGACUGCACCUGCUCUGAAUGUGUUCCCUUAAGAUGUGUCAGAGGAGAAACUAUAACUUCCUGCAGGGUCGCAGAAUAUCCAGCUUCUGUAAUGGCUUUUGCACUAAUGGUAGCAGUCGUAUACAUUGUUUGUACCACACCAUUGGGUGAUGUUGGACUCCGAGUUGUGUGCUGACCUGGUGGAGUUCGAUCUCUCAUUUCAGGUUUUAUCAAGUGUUGAACUACAACCUUGAUAGAUGGUUCUGCAAGGUGAGAGCGGCUCUCCUGCAUCACUGAAGGAAGUUUAGUUCCUGUAGCAGGUGGUGGAGUCAUGAAGCGUUCCCCAUCCAAAAGUGUAACUGUCACAGGAGUCAAGUUUGGAUGCUGAUCCUCCAACUGGCCUGAAUGUGCAAGAGUCACCUUAGGGUUCUUCUGAGGAGGAGCUCCAACAUCCUGCAGUGCCAUGGAAUGUUCAGCCUCUAUAGAGUGAAACGAAUUGUGAUGUUGUUGUACUGUCACUCACUGGAGAUGAACACAGCACACAUGACUGGUGGUCUGCAGCCUGCUCUGAAGCAGAAAUCUCCUCCUUUCUUCUGACUUGAGACGGCAGAGCUAGGUAUUCAUUCUCAUGCCCAUCUACCAUUGAAUCCACCUCUGGGAGCCUCUGUGGCCCAACCAGCUUGUCAUGCAGACCCUGAUGCGGAACAGCAAACUUAUCUGGAUCCGGCAGUGACUCUCCAGUCGACUCCUCAGGUGUAAGUAAAAUCUUCUUGGGUGCAGAGGUUCCUGGGUAGUCCAAUUCCCCCGGCUCUGCUGGAGUAGUAAAGGUGUAGAGUGGUUGAGACGAGGGAAGGGGCUUGUGAGGAAAAAACAAAGAGCUAGGCUCAAAGAGCUCAGGGUCCAUCUGGGCUGGGAACUGAGGUGGGGCUACCAGCAUCACUAGCCACAACUGUGGCCAAAACAUGAACCCUGGUGCCCCAAAGCGCAAUAUAAACAUCAUACGAUAAGGCUUGGUCAACAAGACCUAGGCCAGUUGCUUCCAGCAAGACUAUUGCUGAAAUGUCUUUGCUAGCCACUUACUGCCAGUGCCUGGGCAACCAUGUACAUUGUGACCUGGCCCACCACUUGUGACAUCAUUGUUUAAGAAACAAUUAGGUUCUCCGGGCUGGGGAUUUAGCUCAGGGGCAUAAGCGCCUGCCUUGCAAGCAGGCAGUCGUGAGUUCAAUCCCCGGUACCGAUAAAAAGGAAAAAGACACACACACACAAAAAAAAAACAAUUAGGUUCUGGCCCAGAUGGGCUUACCAUGGCCUCAGUGAGCCUUUUGCUACACUGGCCAGGCCCAACUUCCUGCCUCCAGCAGAGGUGACAUCAGUGUCCCGCAGGUGACAUCAGUGUCCCGCAGGGCUACUCCCCAUAUCGAGGCAGGAUUUGGGCCUCAGACUUGGGUAGUCCUGUCUUCAGCAGCCCCUUGAGUGGGGCAGGACAGAGCUCCAUGGAGGUCACAGGGCUGGGCCUCUGUACACUCAGAAGCAGUAACCCAGUCCAGCAACUUAAGUUUUUCUUGCUCCAAGCCACAAUCUAGGAGAAAUCCUUCCUCCUUUGGGGAUGCAGGUUCUAGGAAAUCCAGCUGACCUCCAGAAUGAGGACUAGUUAGGGCAGCAGACAGGAGAAUACACAAUAUGGUGGUUUAUUCCACAGAGUUGUCAUUUGCUCUAUUCUCUAUCCAGUUCCAUGUUUGGUGAUUCAUUUCCCUGUUAGGCUGGGGCUGCAUAUACUCUGUGAUGAUGUGUAGUGCUUGCAGGAAGGCUUUUGGAGGUGAGCAGUUGGAUCUGAGAGGAAGGAUUUGAGUCAGUGCUUUCCAUUAGCAUGUGAGAACUCUCCCUGCCCUACCAGGCCUCAACACUUCCAUCCAGAUGUGACAGUGCCCUUUUUCACACCACACAUGGGAAGACUCUUUUAAUGUUAAAAUCCUCAAGUUAAACAGUUUUCUUGGAACACUACUGUAAACUGACUUCUUUCACAGUCCUUUUUCAUCAAUUAUUACUUGUUUUUUUACCCCUCCUGCCUUACGUGGGAGCACAUAGUAAUGGUUUUAAAAUAGAAUUGAUUCCAAAAGACAUGUCAUGUAGGGGCAAUUUAGUGUUAAAAUCUGAUUUGUAACUGGAUGUACUGGUGCACACUUGUAAUCCCAACACUUGGGAGGCUAAGGCAGGAGAAUCCUUGCAAGUUUGAGACCAGCCUGGGCUAUAAAAUGAACUCAAGACCAGCUGGAGACCAGCUCAAAGAGACAAAAAAAAAUCAUCUGAUUUCUAAAAUUUACUGACUUCCUCUUCUCAAAUUUCCAAGAAACUAGAUUCUUUAAAGUUUGAAGCAUCUUUGGUGUUGUUAAAAUUACAGUGAAAUCAUUCUUUAGUAUGGGAAAAAUUGAGAUGCUUUUCCAGAAAGCAACCACAUUCUCCACCUCUUUGAAGCAAACAUUCCCCAAUUUUUCAAUCAAGUCUCCCCAAGUUAAGUGCUGAAGCAGAAGUCCUGAUCUCACUGCAGCCAUUUUGUUCUUGCCCCUGAACUCAGCUAAGUCACAUGAUUUGUGACUCAUCUAAUUGAAACUUCUGUAAAUGCGCUAAAACAAUUGUGUCACAUAAAAACUAUGGUCACCCCAGGAUAUGCAUUGUACCAUGGCCUAAAGUUAUACUUAACUAGCUUUUUUUGUAACUCCUGCUUGCCACCCUAUAAAAAGGACAAACUCUUCAUAAUCAGUGCCUCAGAUUGUGGAGAUUACUCCUCUGGGGACUGCCAGCACUCAAUAAAAUUUCCUUUCUUCUCCUGAGCUCCUGGCUACUGCAGACUCAGUUUUCCUGCUACAGUUCCACUGGCAUGAAACAGUUUUUGUCCUUUCCUUUCUAAACAUCCUAAAAGUAGUAAAUGAUGAUAAUUUUCUGAAAGAAAUUACUUUGGAAAAUCAAUCCCUAAAGGUUUUGUACAAUGGAUUCGCAGAAAGAUUCUUUGGUAAAAUAUUCUACUUCAGUUGUGGGGAGAUGCUGACCCCUAGGUAACAGACCAUAUUGAGAAGGCAGAAGAGUGUUCAAAGCUGUAGCACAAUUGAUUUCAGGGCUGUAGGCACAUUGAUCCUGGAAAUCUUGUCUGAGGGGAGCUCCAAAAGGACCUGUGUUUAAGCAGCCUGACUUCUCCGUCCUUGAGAGGAACGCUAGCUCCUCCUUCAGGUCCACAAAAGAAGUACCUGAGAGGCCUCAAUUCUACUUGUUUAACUUCAAAUGAGGGGUUCAGGGCCAAGAAUGGGACUUCAGGAAAAAUGACAGAAAUUUCCUGGACUAGGAAGCAGUCUCAGAGUUUCAUGUUUUCCUGAGACAUGUGUGCAGUCUUCCAAAUCCUUCUGGGCUUUUUUGUGACAGUGGUGUUUUAUUUUUGCUAUAUUGAGCACUGAACCCAAGGUAUCUUACAUGCUAGCAAGUGCACACAACUAGGCUCGCACCCCAGCCCUUUAUAUUCAGCACUGCUGGAUGUUUUGAAUCAGAGCUACACUGUCAUUUUAUCCUUGUAUUUUUGUUGCAAGCAGCUGAGUUAGUUAGAAAUACUAUAGGCAGUGAGACAUGGCUGGGUCCUCAAAGGAGCCACUACAGAAACCCAGGUAUCUUGCACCUAUGGGUGAGACAGAAACCUCUUGCUGUGGGCCAGGCCUCAGUCCAAAAGUUUAAACAAAUACAUCCACAUCCUAAGGACUACCAUUCUAAAUAGUUCCCUAUUACCCUAAGAAAGUCAAGAGUCACUGUUCAGAUCCCCUAGGGGUGGGUCACUGCUCCCUAAGAAUGACCACUUUCUACAUGACUGGCUUCCCCAUUCAUCCCUAAUUAAUCAAUUUUACCUGAGCUAUUGUUCUUAUUGGCUAACCACACUUCUGUCCCACCUUAUGCCCACCUGCCUUGCGAGUUCCCAGUUUUGCCUUGAACCCAUGAUUUUACUGUAUAAAAGUGCCUGAAAAAGACAGAGUCCCUGACAACUUGCUCUGGAACCCUUUUGUCUCUCUCUGAAGCUUUCCUUCUUGCAAUACACAUAUUCUGCUCUUAACCUCCUUUGUUCCUAAAAUUCAUUCAAUUUUAGAGAACACAAACUUGUACCAGACCUACUAGGUUGAGAGCUUCAUUCCCCUAUGUCAUUUCAAGGUCCCACCAAGUUCAUUGGAUGGAGAUAAGAAGUUGCUUUUGUUUCAUAACCUCUGGACUGGAACUCAUUGAAGUAACAAAUUUUUAUGCUUCCAAUUUUCUUUUUUGUUUCAUUAUUUAUAACGCUUUUUCUCUUAUAGUUUUGUUAAAAUGGUAAAUGUAUGUUAAAACUUGGGAAAUUUGUAGUUAUGGUAUUUCUUAAAUGGUACAUUUUUAUUAUUCUGUUUUUUUAUUGCUUGAAUUUAAAUUAGUUGCUAAAGUUACUGGUACCCCUUGCUUGAUUGUAUUUAGAGUAUAGCAGUGGAGAUAAUAAUAGGACUUCCUUAACAGACUUUAAACUUCUGUAAAAUGGUUCUCUUAAAUAAAAUCUAGUUCAGACUUAAAAUAUAUACAUGUCUAGAAUAACAAAUGGGACUCUAAAAAACGGAGGACAGAUUUCCCCAACCUCCAUCUGGUGAAUCCCCAUUAAAGCCAGUGGCCCAUGGAGUGCUAACCAGACAGGCAGCUGGAUUCCUUUCUGGAGACUGAUUUCUGGUUGUGUGGGGCCUAUGCAAACUGAGAACAACUGAGGGGUCAUGGCCAAGACACCCACGGUUUCCUCAGUGGGCACUGGCUCCCCAGCCACAGAAAACUCCGCUUCCUUAUCUACCUGAAUCUUUCUGGUGUUCCCUAACUAAAGGUUACUAAAACUAAAGGUGUUCCCUAAACUUUUCAGGUAGUUAAGACUACUUCUCUCAAAACUAGACUAAGGCACUCUGCAACAGCUUUUUACAUUUGAAAAGAAACUAGCAGGAAAGGAUUUACAUUUGUGCCUUACCUAUGUUAAUUAGGAAUAAAUAGCCUUUUUCUCUUCUGUGCCUUUAAGUACUGGUAAAAAUGUGAUUGCUAGAUGCUAAUUUAUAAAUCUAACCUGUGAGCUUCAAAGAUACAGAAAUUUAAAUAAAACAUAGCCAUGUCCCUCCACUAGAAAAGAUUACCUAGAUAGUUAGAGAACACAAAUGCCUUGGAAAAUUUGUCUGAGGGCCCAGGGCAAAGUUCCUUAAGUUUAUUUGUUGUCUAUAUUUCCUGGGGAAUCUCUUUCCCAGAACAAAAAUGCUUUAGCCCAACUUUUCUUACAAUAAACAAAAAGCAGCAGUUUGGUACACAUUUAUACUUCCUUCUUUAAGCAUUCCUAAUGGAAACAAAGUUUAUGAGCUAUCUGGGAAGAUAAGAUUGUGUACCAGGCCAAGGGUGGAUAGGCUGACCAGAUCUAUCUUCCAUGCUCUCCAGAAGACAUCCAUCUCCCCUGGAGCAGUUUCAACCCAAGGGACAUCUAGAGAACAUUUAUCAAUAGGAAUAAAAAGGGAUGCUCUAUUUCCUUUUUGCAUAGCUAGAUAGCUUAAUAUCAUUCAUAGGUCAGAGAAAGCUCCUGAGUUUGAUUCCUGGUCCUGGGAAAAAAAGAUUGUAUACACUUAUACCCUGCAAUGGCAUUACAGACAUGGCCAAUUCAGGGCCAAAGCCCCUUACUCUUCUGGAAUGUGUUCUGAAGCACUGGAAGAUGUUUGACCCUUGUGUUAUACUCUAGCCAAAAAGUGCUGUCAUCUUGUUCUGUGUAUGCCCUCGUUAUUUGCCCUAAUUACCUUGUGAAUCCCUUUGCUAAAGCAUCUGUUUCUCACAGCUGACCACCCUGGAGCAACUGACCACAAUGUUGUAAAUUAACCAAAAUGCCACCAUACUGUUCUGUAUGCGCUGUCCACCUGGUAACAUGCUUGCCAUGAGGGCUCAGCCUUGCUGGCUCUGCUGUUCAACUGGGUUGUGCCAGAGCUGGGCCACGUGCUGGCUGAAGAGCUCAUCCUGCAGCCCUGGCUGGUGCUGUGCCUGCCAUACCAGGUAAAUGCCUAUGGUCUGCUCCUGCCAAGGCUGCAGGGAUCCAUCCCCCAGGAGCCACAGCAUCUAUGACACAAAGUGGGGCCAGAGCAGGAGUAUAGGACUCUCAUGUGCUGGUCCAGCCCCUGUGAGGGACUCUGUCCUCUCCCUGAUGUGUCACUCACCACCUUGUUGAUGUCCAGGGCAUGCUGAGGGUUCUCUCCCACCAGCUGAGUCAGUGGUUUGGUCAGAGGCAAUCCUGGGCUGGGCAGGGAUGGCUCCUGCAGAGAAGGAGGGUGGUACAGAGCUUGUCCUCUAUGCUUAUAAGGGAUAGGGAAGUAUCCAGGGGGACCCCCAUGAAAGCAUGCACCCUGAAGAAGGGGAGGCAUUGGGACGUAAUGUCAUCUUAGCAAUGUAUCUUUCUAGCAAGGCAAUGGUGGUGCAAGCCUAUAAUCCCAGCAUUUAGGAAGCUGAGGCAGCAGGAUCACCCUGAGUUUGAGGCCAUCCUGGGCUACAUAGUGAGACUGUCUCAAAAUAGUAACAAUGACAAAAAUGUACAUUUCUGUUUGUUUAUUUUGGCUUUGAUUUUUUGGUAUAAGGUCUCACUAUAUAGUUCAAGCAUGUACCCAGGCUGGCCUCAAACUCAGAGAGGAUCCUUCUGCCUCAGCCUCCUCCUGAGUGCUGAGAUUACAGGAAUCUGCCACCAUGCCCAGCUCAGAAAUGUAUCUUAGUAGUUAUUUCAUUAGAAGAUUGAUAUCAUACAUGCAAAAAACAGAAAAGACUAAAAAUUAAAACUAUCAUUAACAUUCUGCAGCCAAAGUUAAACCAUAGUUAGCAUUUUAGCCUUUUUUCAUGUUUGUUUGUGUGGUGGCUGGUUUUUUUCUCCAUUUUGUAGUGCAGGCUGGCCUUGAACUCACAGUGCAGUCCAAGCUAGUCUCAAACUCAGGGCUAUCCUCCUGCCUCAGCCUCUGGAAUGCUGGGAUUAAAAGCUUGUGCCACAAAGUUCAACUCUUGUUUUAACUUCUAUGCAUGGAGACAUCUGGCACACCCCACCCUUUUGUUUGUUUGUUUUCUGUGUGGGUUUUUUUGGUACUAAGGAUUGAACUCAGGGCCUUCACACUGAAAGGCAUCCCCAGUAUUUUUUUUUUUAAACAACGACAACAACAACAACAACAACAACAAAACCAGUCUUGCUAAGUCAUUAAAUUGCCCAGGCUGGGCUCAAACUUGAGAUUUUCUUGCCUCCCCCUUCCAGCAUGCGGGGAUUACAGGCCUGUGGCACCAAGCCUGGCCCCUGUUGUCUAAAGAGAAUUGGGAUUCUACUAUACAUGUAGUUUUGAAUCCUGCUUUUUUUAUGUUGCACCGCAGCCUGGGCGGUUUCUGCUGUCAAACAUUCUUUAAUGGAACGACUUCAACAGCAGGACAGUACCACAAGAAUACAAAGGUGUGGCCUCCGGACUGAAAUAACACUCCAUGGUGCACUGCUUCAGUUGAAUGGGUAUCUUCAGAGCAGUUUCCAGAAAGUGGAGGAAGGGAGAGGCCAAGCUUCUGCUUGGCAGUGCUAACGGUGGGGAAUGCUGGGCCUGGAGGAAGCACACAGGCCUAGGGCUCACCUGAAAGCUGGUAGAGAUGAAGCUGGAGAAGGGGAACAGGUCAAUGUCUGACGGGAGGGUCAGGCGCGGCCGCACCAGCACCUCAGGAGGAAUAGUCUCAGUCAUGAGUCCAGCCAGGGUGUCCUGGUGGCCUGGGAAGGAGCUGCGGGAGGCAGCACUAAGAGACACCAGGUGUGAUGCCAGGAAUGGCACCAACCCUACCGUUCUCGUUGGUCACCAGCCCCUAUCAGUAAGGAGCUGGCGGGGAGCUGACAAGAGAGGUAGCCCCACUACACAACCAGUACGACGCACCUUCUGCGGCCCUCAGUAUGGCUGCCAGCUCAGCUGGGAUCUCUAAGCGGUCCAGCUCCUGGGGGACAGCAAAAGUUGCCCGGAGCUGGGAGAGGGACCCACUGUGUCUCUCAUCCCCAGGAUGAUAUGAAUAUCCUCUCCGAAGACCAAAGACUCUGGUCCCGGGUACUUAAAAGAGAAGCACCCUAAGAACCCUUCUAGGGAAGAAAAGGCAUCAAAGAGCCACAGGCACCUCAUCUUCACUCAGGGGCACAUGAGGGACAAGACCCCUGGUGCCACCUCUGCCUCUUGCCUUCCCCCAAGCUGAGCUGAGUGUGGGGGUUCAUACCCCACGGAGAACCUCUUCCCUCGAGAGACCACUUACCAUGCUCUGUACUCUCUCUGAGAUCCUGCUGCUGCGCUGGCCACACCAAUGCCCAAGUUGUGGGGAGACACAGGAUGAGCUGAGGCCCCAGCAGGACCCACUACGACCCUCCCAGCAGCUGCUCCCCACCAGGGGGCCUUGACACCCUGCAAAGGAACAGCAGACUGAGAGGGACAGCUGCCUGCCGUGCUGUGCGCCCCAGCUGCUCCCAGCCUUCUGAGCUCCCACUGUCUCUGUGCUGUGGACGUCACUACCUGUCCGCCCAGGGUGCUGGGAAGAGGGCAGGAAGAAGGGGAGAAAUGGUUUCAGAGGACCAAGUCCAGCCAGGGAGAGGCCAGGGAUGGGGACAGAGUGUGGGUGCUGACCUUUGAGCAGCUUCAUGGCCAUCAAACUGGAGUCAUUAGGCAAGAGGGGGAAGAGUAGGGACCCACGAAGGACUAGAGGGGACGGAAGGAACCCCAGGGGGAGAAGGGGAUGUGGGAAGCAACAGUGGCCUCUCAGGGCCCCUGCCUGCCCUAGUCAGGCAGAAGGAAAGGGAAAAGUUCAAGGAGUGAUGGUCUCAGCCUUGGUCCCUGGGAGGCUGGGCUCUUAGGCUGAGCGUCGGGGCUCAGCGACUGGCCAGAGCAGGCUGCCUGGCUUCUGCCUUGAGUCUUUUCAGUCUGCCUGCCCAGACUCCGUCACCUUCAGCCUCUGCCACCUCUGGAGCAGGGGCCAGGCCACCAGGAUUACAGUGUUCAGCUGAGCCACACCUUCCUGCCGUACAAGGUAUCACUUCCUGGAGGCCACCGGGGAUGAAGAACAGAUCAGGGCUCCACAUGGACACUCCCUGCCUGGUACCUGAACCCUCUAAGCCUGGACAUUCACGUAGAAAACAACUCUAAUUAGCUAGGGCCCUGGAGGUUCAACAGAAGCAACAGGAAGAGAACAGAACACCAUAAAAGAAGAACAGGUAAUUUGAGAGGCUGUUUAACAUACGGGGAUUAGGACUGGACUGCUUAGCUGAACCAUUCAGGCUCAAAUCAGCCCUCGCCUGAUUAGGUGCCAGGGCCUCGGAUCAGUGGCUUUACCUGUCUGUGAUCUAUUGGCAAGGCAGACUUUGCUAAAGAGAUUUGGGAAGAGGGAAUAUGUAAAUACAAUAGCUUGGAAAGUUUCCCAGAUAUAAGACCAGACUCAUCAAAGGAGGCCUGUCCAAGACACACAUUUAAAAACAGGGCUGGGGGGCUGGGGAUUUAGCUCAGCGGCAUAAGCGUCUGCCUUGCAAGCCUGUGGUCGUGAUUUCGAUCCCUGGUACUGGUAAAAACGCAAAAACAAAACAAAACAAAACAGGGCUGGGUGUGGCCCCAUGCAACAUGACUUGCCUUUAUGGCCCUGGGUUUUGUCCCCAGAGCCACUCACACACACUUGCAUGCACACACACACACUCACACAUGCAAUACAAUCCAUAGAAUGGGAAAUAUUUGCAAAGCAUAUAUUUGAUAGUAGCUUAAUAUCCAGAAAAUGUUAAGAGCUUUCUUCAGCUCAACCAAAAAGAGAUAAUCUAAUUAAAAAACCAGGGAGAGGACUGGAACAGACAUUUUCUUGUAGAAAGUACGCUCAUGGUUAAGAAGGACAUGAAAAUAUACUCAAUAUUUCUGCAUACUAAGAAAUACAAAGCAGAACCAUGAGCUAUUCCUUCAUACUCCUGAGGAUGAUGAUAACUAAAAAGAUAAAAGAUAACAGGACUCAAAGAAGCUGGGACCCUGCUAAAUUGCCAGUAGGAAUAUAAAAUGAUGAGGGAUACUGUUGGGCAGCUUCUCAAAAAGUUCAACAUAGAACAAAUGACUACAGAAACUUGAAAGCACAGACUAGAGCAGAUACUAUAUUUGAAUACCCAUAGUCAUAGUAGCAUUAUUCAUAAAUAAUGGAAACAACUCAAAUAUCCAUCAGUAGAUAAACAGAUAUAAAUAAUGUGUAGUCAGUCCUUGAAGGAAAUAUUACUCAGCCAGAAAAAGAAAUAAAGUCCUAACCAGGUAUGGAGGCACAUGCCUGUAACACAGGAGGCUGAGGCAGGAAAAUUGCUAUGGGAUUGAGGCCAGUCUCAGCUACAUAGUGAAUUCAAGGUUGGCUUAAACUACAUAGUGAGAUUCUGUCUCAAAAAACCAAAACCAAUCAACCAACCUCCCCAAACAAAACAAACAAACAAAAAGAAAUGAGGUUCUGGUGUAUGCUCUAGCACACAUGAAAUUUGAAAAUAUUAUGCUAAGUUGUGUGUGGUAGCACACACUUGUGAUCUCAGCACUCUAGGAGACAGGCAGGAGGAUCACAAGUUUGAACCUAGCGUGGGUAGCUUAGCAAUUUAACAAGAUCCUGUGCCAAAAUAAAAAAGAGGUGGGGUGUAGCUUGGUAUAAAGACCCUAGGUUUAACAUCCAGUACCACAAGAACAAAACUGUUACAAUAAGUAUAGUAAGCCAGACAGAAAAGGAAAUAUUCUGUAAGUCAGCUCCCAGGAGGUAGCUAGAAAAGCCAAAUUCAUGGGUACAGAAAGCAGAAGGAAAGUUGCCAGGAUAGGGAGUUACUGAGUGCUACAGAGUUGCUGUUUAUGUGGCAGAAAGUUCUGGACCCAGAUAGUGGUGAUGUUUGCCCCCUCCCCCAAGGUCCCAGACUGCACACUUGACUCUCACCCUUGGGGUGGUCGGUGGCUGACUGGCUGUCUGAAUCUGACCCCUACUAGCUCAGAUGUACCAUCCCUCCUGUCUGCCUUCCUGCAUCACCAGCAUCUGACAGGGUGGCGCGGCAGCUGUGUGAACAAGCGAAGACAGGCUGGCAGGGUCAGCGGGCUUCAGCGCAGGGCACAGGAGUUAAUCAGGAAGUGUCAUACUAUAAGACUUCAGAGGUCCAGGGGCUGGGGAUUUAGCUCAGCAGCAUAAGCGCCUGCCUUGCAAGUGUGUGGUCAUGAGUUCGAUCCCCAGUAGUGAUAAAAAAAAAAAAAAAAAAAAGACUAAGAGGUCCAAGUGGCUAGAGUAUAAAAGCCCAGCCUAAAUCCAGGCUGGAGAGAUAGGCAGGACCUACACAACCUGAUUCAUUAUUUUUAUUUUUUAUUACUCUUUUUUUAUCACACACUGGUAAGGCAGGCACUUAUGCCACUAAGCUAAAUCCCCAGCCCCCUGAUUCAUUCUUUUAAAUGAUCAUUCUUUUUAGUUUGUGUUUCACUCUGGCUUUUUUUGUUUUUGUUUUUGUUUUUGUUUUUUGUUACUGAACAUUGAACUCACAACAAGGCAGGUGCUUACGCUGCUGAGCUAAAUCCCUGGCCCUCAUUCUGUUUUUUGAGAUGAGAUCUCAGUAGGUGGUUCAGGCUGGCCUUGAACUCACUGUGUAGCCAGGAUGACCUCAAACUCAUGGAGAUCCUUCUAGCUCAGCUUCCAGAGUGCUGGGAUUACAGAUGUGUGUGACCAUACCUGGCUAAAAAAAAUCAUUCGUGCUUCAGGGUAAAGAAAUUGAAAAAAAGAAUGGAGGAGUUAGAACUGCAGGUUCAAGCAGACUCAUAAGGCAGUGACCUUUUCAUGCCUGGGAAUAUUCCAGCAUAGGCUGCUCGGGUAGGGGUUACAGUGCUAUUAAGGUUGAGAGACGGCCCUGGGACAGGGAGACUUGUCUUGAAAGCCUCUGUCACCUGGACUCUGCCCCACCACCUGGGGGAGCCCGAGGCCUCUUCCUACCCGCUUCAGCCCUUGACCUGAGCACCUGCUGACCUGGCCUGGAGUCCACGAACUCGACCCUGCAGCCGGAGCAGGAGGCGGAGCUGCUGUCGGGAGAUGCAGGCAUGAAGGCCCCGAGGAUGCAGGGUGAGCAAGGCCUGGGAGCCGUGCUGGGCCCAGAGUUGCUCCAGCUGCCACAGGCCCUGCUCCUGCAGGAGGACCUGUGGGCAGAGGGCAGCUGCAGAUAGGACAGGCCCAGGACACAUUGCCCUUCUCUGGCCUCUGCCUCCUCCCUUCCAGCCAAAUUGUGUGUUAUCCUGGUGGAUUGUCCUGAACAGCACACCACCCAGCCCACUUCCAUUGGGCCACUACUUGCAGGACCACCCACCCUGUGUUUGUCCCUAUUUGUGCCUGGAGGUUCCUCUACCUUUUCCUUCAUGCUUGGCAGGUUACACACGCAGAUGCUGGAACUCACCUGGGUAGCCCCAAGGUGACAGAGUGGAGACUCAGCUCCCAGAACCCUGCUGAAGAUGGCUCUACACUUCUCCCGGUCAGAGGAACUGCCUUGUCCCUCUGUCCCGAGAGCCCAGAAUCUGUCCCAAGGACACAGAGCCUAGGUCAGAAGAGCAAGUGUUCCCUAGGUAUCCAGUUUCAUGGGCAUCCCACAAUCUGGGAGCUCUGGUACAGUCAGGGACUUGGCUGGGUACUGACAUUCAGCCAUGCACUGGGGAAGUGCGACCUCAGCUUGGUAGAAGAGAUGGGAGGUGAGAAGCCCAUACACACAGAGAACCAUGAGGCCGGUUCAGGAUGGCAGGGGCAAGACCAGUAUGGUCCUGAGUUCCUGUCUGUCCUGUUGCCCGCACACCCUAACAGUGGUCUCCAGUGUGGCAGUGGAAGGGAGGCAGGUGGGGAAGGGGACACAGAGCAGCAGGGGUGGCUCAUUGAUAGACCAUUAAAGUGCUAGGGGGACCAUAGAACCCCAGCUCCCCCUCCUCCAGCCUCAGGGCUAAGGGUUCCUGGGAGGUGGCAACUGCUGUAGCUGUGGAGUGUCCAGAGGGCAGGGACAGAGCCUUCCUGGCCUGGCCUUCUUCAGAGCAGGCUCGAGAGCAGGCCUGCAGCUCUGCUCCUUGGUCAGGCUGUCGUCAUUGCCAAGGCCAUUAUGACAAACGGAGCCACCAGAGUGUGGGGUGGGGCAGCCCAUCAGGGCAUUUUGAGAGGCCACUGGCCAGUGGCAAUGCCAAAUAGACAAACAAUAAUUUACCAGCUUUUCCAGAAGUUUCCAAAGUCCCCAGACAGCACCAUCCUCAUCCUUAUUGUGCCCCACUGCCCCACUGCUGGCUUGGUCUCCCCUCCUGGCUGGCCAUCUCCAUCUCACUAAGCCAGCUCCGUCUACACUGGGAGCCAGCCACCCCAAGGCAGGCACUGUCCUGCCCUCUCUAACCGGGCUUUAGCCUGCAGAGUCUUGGGUGGGGGCUGGUGAAGGUGGGAGGGACAGUAAAUAAGGAGGACGGAAGAGCAAGGAGAGGAGGGAAAGGAGAGGCUUGGAGGCCAGGUGCAGACUGGGGGGAAAUGAGAUGGGUCUGUCCCCACCAGGAAAGAGCCCUGGGCCUGCCAGGCACGCUGGAGCCCUCUCCAUCUGUCCUGUCUGAAGGCACUGGGCCCUUGGCUGCCCUACGCCCGGGCCUGACCUGGCCAGGAAGGCCUGGAAGGGGACGCACAUGGGGAAGUGGGCUCUGCGGAUGUCUAUGGCCUCCAGGAUGCCAGCCUGGUGCAGCUGCUCUGCCACAUGUUCAACGUCGAAGAGGCCUGAGAUCUAUGGCCAGAGACAGAGUGGAUGAGAGGAGCAGUUGUGGGGUUACAGCUAAGGGGUGAGGGGCGGAUCUGGGGUACAGUGCGAGGGGUGGGGGCGCUCACCUUUCCAGGGUUGGGGUUUAGGCACUGGAUAAAAUAAAUGUGACUCCUGCAGAGUAAAGGGGGGGGGUUUCACUGGGCACAGACCAGCCCCCCAACUCACUGGGACCUCCAAUUGGGGUCCCUCUUCUCACCUGCCUAGUUGUGCUAAGAGGUUCCCCAGGGACUGCAGGAAGUAGGAGGCCAGUGUGGCUUUGUCUCUCUGGGGCGCUGUUUGCUGAAACAGGCUCCUCACCAGCUGCCGGCAAGAUGGGGCUGAACUGCUCCCCACUCUCCCAGCCUGUCCACCCUGUCCCACAGCCCUGGAAAGCCAAGACCCCAGGGUGCUGGGGAUUCAGGGCUGCCCCUUGGGCAGGAGCCUACAGGGAGAAGGCAGAGGGAGGGCUGCCACAGGGCACCUGCAGCUGGCUCUGGGCAAGCAUCUCCAUCACAGCGGGAUCGAGGUGGUCUCGGUUUCAGUUUAAGAACUUGUGAACUAGCCAGAGAUGGACGGGGAGCCACAGAACAAAGGCUGGGGUGACUUGAGUGGUUCUUGGGAGAUCAUGGCCUCUCCCACAUGCUUCACAAGACUGGUACUCUGUGGCGGCCGCAGUGCUGGGGACUGAAGCUAAGGCCUUCACAUUGAACUAUAUCACUAAACCCCCCCCCCUUUUUACUUUUUGAGAUAGGGUCAGAUCACUCAGGCUGAAGCUGUGUGUGGUGAUGCACCAGCACCAGAGAGGCUGAGGUGGGAGGAUUGUAAGUUUGAAGCCAGCUGGGGGUAUAUAAUAAGUUCAAGGCUGGCCUGCACUUAACAGUGAGAGUCCACCUCAACAAAACAAAACAACAACAAUAACAAGACAAAAUUCAGUGUGACCUCUAACUUCCUAUCCUCUUGCCUCAGUCCCUGGAGUGCUGCGAUAACAGGUCUGUGCCACCAUGCAUGGUUACGAUGAUUUUUAUCAAAUCCAUUCCUCUCCUCCUGUAGGAAUUCCACCUUGGCAUCAUGUUGCUUUUGUGGAAUAACUAUACAAGAAUAGACCAGGCUGUUCCCACUGAAACAUGUCUGUUUGUCUGUCUCGCUCUCUUAGUGCUGGGGAUGCCACAGCCUCACACCCACUGACCUACAGCCCCGGCUCUAGUUUCCUUCACUCCAAUUCCCUGUAUUUCUUGUUUGAAUAACUUUUUUCUUGGUUUUUCUCCUGCAAUCAGAGCAUGCCACCUCUUCCAUCAGUCACACUGUCCCUCUUGGGGGACCCAGUACCCUCCCUCAGUGGCUGUCCUCUUGGGCAAGCAAAAAGCCUUCCCUGGUGACACAGAUUUUAAGGGCUGUCCCCUCAGUGAGCACUUGCUAGGCCUCGGUCUUACAGACAAUGCCACAGGCUAGGUUUCUGAGCCCAUUUCACAGGUGAGGAAAGGAGGCCGAGUAAACAGCUGGAGUUCACAGACCCAGCUCUCACUAAGGGAUUUCCCAGCCUUGUGCUCUGCUCUACACCUGGAAGGCCCCGAGGCCUGGGGGGGGAGGGGCCAGGGGGAAGCACGCCUUAAUGCUUGCAAGUGACAACAGUGGCUUGGGGGAUAAUUUUAGAGCCAGCACUACCUCCCAUGCACAUGGUGCUGCGUUUCAAUCCACACUUAAGGACAGUGCCAAGCCCAGGAAAAACCUGCUAGGUUUUUCCAAAAAUGGCCCUGGUCCUCAAGGACACCUUCGACAGGCUUUAAUAAAACUUUGUGGAAUGUGAACUAGGAACAACAAUUAUUUACAAGUUGAUGUACUGCUAUAUCUAAUCAGGAAUUUCAAAUAGGUGUUAAUAAAAACUCUACUGAGCUACAUCCCCAGCUCACUGGAUUUUGAGCUUUUUAUUUUGAGAGAGGGUCUUGCUAAGUCCCUAAAUUUUCCAGGCUGGGGUUGAACUUGUGAUCCUUCGGCCUCAGCCCCCACAGAGAGCCAGGAUUACAGUUGUGUAACACUGUACCUGGUGUUGUCUCUCUCUGUGAAAACAAUCUCACUAUUUAGCCUAGGGUGGCCUCAAACUUGAAAUUCUCUUGCCUCAGCCUCCUGAAUACUGGAAUUAGAGGUAUAUACUUGGGCAUUUCUUUUCUUUCUUUUUUUUUUUUUGGGUACCGGGGAUUGAUGACUUCACAUACUCAUCAGGUAGGUCUGCUUAUGCUGCUGAGCUAAAUCCCUGGCUCAUUCCUGGGCAUUUAAAAAAAUUAACAUUUCUUGGGGCUAAGGGUUUAGCUCAGCGGCAUAAACACCUGCCUUGCAAGCAGGCAGUUGUGAGUUCGAUCCCCGGUACCGAUAAAAAAAAAAACAUUUUUUUUUCUUCAGGCAUGGUUUUUAUUUUUAUUUUUAUUUAAAGAGAGAAGAAAAGAAAAGGACAUAAAAAUGCAGUAAAAGGGUACAAAUAAUACAGUAUUUCUAGAAAAAAAAUAUAUACAGUACGAAAUCACCAGUUAACAGGCUACACAUUAUCUUCCCAGAAACAGUUGUCCAUAUCACUAAAUUAAAGCAUAUAAAGUGAACAUUCAUACAGUGGAAUUGGAGACAGUUCCGUUCAAUGAUCCAACAAAAGCUCAGUUAUAUGGUUUUCUGUCCUAAACAUUUCUUUCUUGCUAUACUGCAGGCUUCAAGACAGGAGACUGGGUCUAUGAUCGUCUUUUAUCCCUAGUAUGGUCUUCUACCUUCCUUUUUUAGGGAACCCUAAACACAUGCUGGGGCAGAGCUGGAAGCCUCGUACAAGAUCCCCAGCCCACACAGAACUUAGUCCAGUGCAGAGGAAAGAGUAAAUGAAUAAAUCUGCUCUACAAUCACACUGGCUGUGACAAAAUCAACAAAGAAACAGCAGAAUUAAACUGCCCCUUAGACUAAAUAAACCUAACAAACAUCUACUGAACAUUCCAAUUAACUGUUGCAGGGUAUACAUUCUUAAUAGCACAUGGAAAAUGGAUACAUCGCAUUAGGCAAACAAAAUAAGUCUUGAUUGUUUUUUCAAAGUUGAAAUCACAUUAAAUGUCUUUUCUGACCAUUAUGCAGUAUCAACAAAAAAUACUGGAACUAUAAGUAUAUAAAAACUAAACAAUACAACCUUGAAAAAACAAGGUAUUACAGAGUAAAUUAAGAAAACUUUCUUUUUUUCCAUGAAAUAAAACAUUCAAUAAAAAUAUGAUAUAUCUAAAAGAAGCACUUUAUAUUUUUUGGAUUGAAUAAAUAAAAUAAUUUUGAUAGGUGCAGAUUUGUUAGUGGGUAGAAAAGACAAGCUGUGUUAUUCUUUGCAAGCUAUCUUUUGAUAAUAUCAAAUAGAAUGUCCUUAGUUGCAUCAUACUCUGAUCUCAUUCUCUUUAGCAUUUGCAGCACUCACAGAUCAAGAAACAAAUUUCUUGAAACAAAUGAUUAUGGCAAAUUACAGCAUACAAAAACCUAUGGGAUAUAGCAGGGAAAAACCAAGAAAGAAGUUUAUAAAACUCAAUGUUGAUGAACAUCAAAAAGGCAGAAAGAGACAGUACGUCUGCCCGUAUGAUGAAAGGAUGCAACCUGGUCGGCGUUGAGGUCCUCUAAAGUUGAAUAAAACCCUUAACAGCACGAGGCAAAGUGUAAUGCUGGAGGAGAUGGGAAGCUAGAAGGAGCCAAGUGUGAAGGAUUGAAAAGAACUGGCAAAAUGCUACGCUAUAGUUAAUGCCAACUAAAUGCAAUAGGACCAGAGGGAGGAUAAGAGCAAAUGCUCUCCAGAGAUGACACUGAGAGGAUUUAGCAAUCAAACAGAUUCAUGGAAAGAGGAAAGCAAAAGGGAGGAGGAUAACUUCCAAGAGAACAUGGUGGAUAGACAACAGCAGCUCUAAGGCUCUCUGAGAUAGCCAGCUUAGAUUCCAGGAAUGGUGAGGUGUGGGGAGUCCUAAGUAGGGGGAAAUAUACCCUGCUGACCCAAGAAUGAACUAAUCUGAGAGAAACCAACUGGAAAUGUAAUCCCGGUGCUACAACUGGAACAGCUAAAGUCUCAGUGCUGAAGCUGGAACCCACACCUCUGGAAACUGCGGCUUGAAUUUUGUGUCGCUGCUGCUGCGCUUGAAUCAGCACAGCAGGGAUAGAGACUCGAAAGCUCUGAGAGAGGGAAUCGGCAAACCGAAUUGAGAGCAGAGCUGGCGGGGAGCUCUGCAUCGACCUGUGGUGAGUGAGAGGAAUGAGGACCUUUCCAUAGAGUAGGAGGCUCCAACAGAGGAUAUUCUGGGACUGGGCAGAUGAGCCACAACAGGACACUGCAGUGAUUUCAGUCACAUAUUCCGUUCUCAAGUGGGAUUGGUGGGGAGUGCUUGACCUGGGUGAUGCCGUGGACUAAGACCAGGUAGGCUAGCCCAAACCAGGUCCCUGCACCUGGAAGUGCACCCUAAUGCAGUGAAGCCUUCAGCAGGUUGACUGUCCUGGAGGGGCGGGCCCACCAUAGGCUGCCCAGGUCUAUGUCUCCCUAGUACACUGCAGUACUAGUACACCUAGCUGGCACGAUUCAAACAAACUGUAACUGACAAAGAAAGAAACUGGGCCUCCUAUAUACGCUUGUAUGGAAGGAACAAAAAGUAUGAAGAGGGAGCAACAAGAAAGGGUCCUCAGUCCCCAAUCCUGAGAACACUGAUCCAGGAAAGGUAAAUGCAAAGGAGAAUGAGGACAGAAAACAUGCAAUAUCAGGCAUAGCACCAAUAGACAUAAAGCGAUAUCUCUGGAACCUCAUAGACAAGUUCAAAAGUGAAGUAUUUAAGCAAGCAAAGCAAGAUAUAAGUAGAAUAGUUGGAGAAAUGGUAAGCACCACCUAAGAAAAAACAGAUGGUGGAAUGGAAGAACAGAAAAAAGGGGAGAAUUGUUUGAUGGAGAAAAUAAGAGAAAACAUAGAAUGCGUGAAGCAGGUUCAAAGAGAUUACCAGGAAACUAAAAACUCUAUUGAAAGCUGGCAUAACAGCUUAAAAGAAACUAAGGAUGGCUUAUCUGAACUGGAGGACAGAUUUGUAAUGUGGGAGCAUGAAAUGAAAAACUUCUUAAAAAUAACGAAACAAACAGCAAUAAUACAAAGGCUAGAAGAUGAUAAGAGGAUCUAUAACUUAAGAAUUAAGAACGUAAAAGAAGUAGGGACAAAAACAAAUGAACUACAAAGGCUAUUCACAGAAAUAAUCCAGGAGAAUUUCCCUAAUUUAGCAAAAGGUAAAGAUACUCAGAUGUAUGAAGCAUACAGGACCCCAGCCACCUACAACCCAAACAGAGCUACACCCAGGCAUAUAAUAAUCAAAAUUCCAGAAAUCCAAUAUAAGAACAGAAUAUUAAAAGCCCUCAGAGACAAGAAACAUCACUUACAAGGGAACACCCAUCAGAACUACAGCAGACUUCUCACCACAAACCAUCAAAUCACAAAGAGCGUGGGGGGAAGUAAUUCAAGCUUUGAAAGACAAUAACUUCCAGCCAAGAUCUGCACAACUGUACCUAGAAAUUAAUGGAGAAACAAGGUGCUUCCAGGAUAAAGAGGAACUAGGGGAAUUCGCAACCACCAAUUCAACUCUACAGAGAAUACUGCAGGACAUUGUAAAAAAGAAAAAUACUAAGAUUUCAGAAAUAGUGGCAGAGAGGCCACAAUGAAUGGAGCAGAAAUCGAAGUGAAGAAGACAAACUGACAACUAAUGACAGAAAAAGAGCUAAAUAGAAAUGAGGCAGAGAAGGUUGGAUGGUAGAAACAGCUAUUUUGGAGAAAACAAGACAUCAUAAUAGCUAGUGCUGUUUAAUACCAUCUUGUUUUGAAAUCCCAUCAAGCUUUUGUUCUUCUGUCUCCAUCAGUCUUAACAGGUUGUAUCUUAUUGGAUUUUAUUAUAUGUGAUAAUAUAAACAAAAACUUUUAUAGACAAGGAGAUAAUACAGAAACCAUUGUUCAUUUUGUUAGUUGGUUCUAAAUACUCUGUAAUACUGUCAUUCUCUUGAAUGGUUCGACAUUGUCUUGAUAUGUUUGAUGCUACAGUAUAUGAAGUUAUACUCAAAGAUUUCAGGGAAAGAGACACUAUGGUAACCACUUUUAUGUUGGGAUAUCUUGUGAAACACUAUUUUGCUUAACUGGUUAUGUUCUGACCUGUGCUGUUUUGUUGUUAUGUCCUCUUUUAUCUCAAACUCCUUUUUUAUUAUUUUUUUUAAUCUUUUUAAUUAAGGGAAAAAAUAGCAGGAUAUAUUAUAGUAACCCACUAUGAUUUCCUAUUAACUUGAUUUGAAAACCUAUAUAGCUCUCACCAUCUUGUUUUGACUGAAUUUUACUCAAUUCUGUUUUGCUUGAUAAUACCAAAUAUGAGAGUAUAGGCAACGACUGUGAUUCACUAUGAUACCCAUUUUGAUUUGACUAUUAUCUUCUUUUGAAGUCCUGUAAUGUCUCCAAUGUUUUGGUUUUAUUGGUUUUGUUCUUUUCUAUUUUGUUCUUUUCUAUUUUAUUCAAUUUUAUUAUAACUGAUGUUUUAGGCAAUUCUUUUUAAGAUAGUAAGAGGCAUUAUGGUAACCAUUGUUGAUUACCGUGCAUUCUGUUUUUACAUUAUGUACUAUAUCCAUCCUUUUGAUUUGACUGACUGUUUUGUUAUGUCACAUUUAGUUUUAUUCUCUUCAAAAAAAAAAAGUAAUAAGAACCAUGGGAGUAAUAAAACCCAAAAUGUGUAAUUGUCAUUGUAAAAAAUAGAGGAAAAGGAAGUGCUCUAAUGGAUAUAAUUGCAUGUAUAUUUAAGCGUAUAAGAUAGAUGACCAUAUUACUGAGUUUUUGUUGGAUCAUUGAACAGAACUGUUUGCAGUCUGUUUGAAUGUCUACUUUAUAUGCUUUAAUUUUGUAACUUGAACAACUAUUUCUAAGAUGACAAUAUGUAAUCUAUUAACUAGUGAUUUCCUACUGUUUAUUUUUUUGAAAUUCUGCAUAAGUUGUACCCUUUUUCUGUUUUUUUUUCUUUUUCUCAAAUAAAAAUUUUUUAAAAGGCAGAAAGAUCUUAAAUAACCUAUUGUUGCCCUUCAAGAAAUAAGGAAAACAAGCACAAGUCAUACCCUAAAUUAGUAGAAGAAAUAAUAAAAAUCAGGACAUAAAUAAAUAAAACAGACCAAAAAAAUCAAUAAAAUGAAUUGAUAGAGUUUCAAAAAAUGAAACAAAACUUUAGCUAGACUAACAAAGAAGAUAGGUGGUUCUAAUAAAUAGACUCAGAGAUUAAAAGGGAGACAUUAUAACUGAUACCAAAAAGUGUAUAUAUUUGACUAUUAUGAAUGACUAUAUGUCAACAAAUUUGAUAAUUGAGAAAAACAGAUUAACUCUUCACAUGUACCUUCCCAAGACUAAAAGAUAAGUCAAAAAAGCAAGCAUUUCAUUUUUAAACAUUUUUAUUUUUGUCAAUACACAUUUGCAGUACCUAAUGAUUGUAUUCAUUGUGGAGACUUAGUAUUUGUAUACAACACACCUUAAUUCUUUUUGUAUCACGGCUUCCCUUCAUCCUUGCUCUCUCCAUCUCUUCAUUCUCUUUCCAUUUGUAAAAGAUCUAUCUCCCUUUUUGUUGUUACAUACAUUUUAUGUAAGGAGUAAUAAAAUUGAAUAGUAACAAAAGUCUCCCCCCAAAGAAGUUACCAAACAUUUAAAGAAUAAUUAAAUCUAAUUCUUCCUAAAUUAUUCAACAAAUAUUGAAGAGCAGGGAAUUCUUCCAGAUUUAUUUUACAAAGCCAGAUUUAUUCUAAUACCAAAACCUGACAAGUAUACAAGAAAACAAGAAAGACACCAGCUAAUAGAAUGAUGAGAAUAGAUGCAAAAAUCCUCAACAAAACACUAACUAAAUCUCACUGCACAUUUAAAAGAUUAUGUUCACCACGAUCAAAUGAGAUUUAUCUCAAGGAUUCAAGGAUGUUCCAAUAUAUGAACAUUAAUAAAUAUAAAAAACCAUGACAACAAAAUGAAAGACAAAACUCAUAUGAUCAUCUUAAUAGAUAAAGAAUAAGCAUUUGAUAUAAUUUAAAAUUCUUUCAUGGUAAAACCACUGAACAAGUUAGGUACAGAAGCAACGUACCUCUACAUAAUAGAGGCUGUAAAUAACUACCCCACAACUAAUAUUGUGCUAAAUGAGGGAAAGGUGAACACUUUCCAAAAUCUGGAACACAAGGAUAUCUACUUUUCACCCGUUUUAUUCAACAUAAACUCUUAGCCAGAGCAAUUGGGCAGGGAUAGGGAAUAAAGGAUAUCCAAAUUGGAAAGGAGGAAAUCAAAUUAUCACUGCACACAACCUGAGAUAUAUAGAAAAUUCUAUCAAAUUAUCACUGCACACAACCUGAGAUAUAUAGAAAAUUCCAAAGUCUCCACCUAAAAUCCAUUUGAGCAAAUCAAUUUUUAUGUGUUAAUUUUUUACUAAAUUGAACUUUAUCAUCUGUAAAAAAAUAUCAGUGACCUCAAUGAUAUUCACAAAUAUGAAAUUACAUUGUGAAGCAGAGCACAAGAAAUUAAUAAUUUUCCAUGAUUUUCACUAUAAUAAUAUUUCUAGAAUUACUCCUCACACAACCUCAAAAAUAAGCUUUCUAAAAACUGAAAGUGUGAAAACACUCUUUUCACUAAAAUAUUGUGUUAAACUCUAUACUAUUAGAGAGAAAAAAAAGUAUUCUUAAACAUUUGAUUUCCUAACCACUCUAAUCUGCUCUCUCUUCUUCAAGGAAGAAAAUUAUAUUUGAUGUCUACCAAGCAAUAUAUUAGAUGUCUGGUUUCAUAUAUCAUUUCUCAAACUUCUGAGAUGCUAUCACAACUUUUUAACACAUAAAGAAAUUAAAACCUUGCCUGAAAUCACAAGGUUAGCAUGUUAUUGGAAAAAACACCUGUCAGAUUCUUAAUGCAGGACUUCCUAUUUCAUUAAAUCAAUCACGCUGCUGACACUGGGUCUAAAGGCAGCACAAUCACUUGCACCUGUGUUUUAAAAACUGACCAUGACCACACUUGGUCCUCAGUGAGCAUGUUCACUAACCUGAUGUACCUAAGCGUCCAUUAUUGUCACUCAUAAUUUUGCCUAGAUUACUUAUAUUUGCAGUUUAAUCUAAUGCAUCUUUCAGAACAAACAUCAUGUUUUACACAUUUUGUGACUCUCUUCUCCAGAGUUUUGCACAGGAUUUGUUUCUUUGAACUUAAUUGAAGAAACAUGAACUAUUAAGUGAUGCUCAGUUCAAAAUUGAUUACUCAGUAAAUUGAUGCUCAGUUCUAAAACUGAUUACUUUUGGACUAGGUUCUCCUACGAUAUGUAUCAGCUGUCUUUGAGAGACCAAAAAUUAAAGUGUUAGGAACAUGAAAUCAUAAACCUACUAUUCCAAGUACCCCUGAGGAAGAAAGGGAGUAGUGCUAUAAUCAUCACAAUUACCUGGCUGGUGAUAUGACAGUCCUUCAAAUUCCUUGUCAGAGAAAUUCAUUCUCAUUUAAUCCAGAAUGGCAUUAAGGUUACCAACAUCAAUUUUGCCCUCUUAGAAAAGAAAUGAACUAUUAAAAAGAUUUUCUGGCUCCACAAUACAAAACAGUAGUAUUAUGAUUCAAAAUUUAUCCAAGUGACAUCAAGUGUAAACAUCAGUUAAAUAUAAAAUUUAUUUCAUUAAUUAUGUUGAAGAAAGGCCUACGAGACAAAAAUUCUAAAAGGAAACUGAAUCUGAACCUCAGAACAGACAUCACUGUCCUCUAUCAGGCAUUCCUGAACUAUCAUAUCUAAAGUAACUCUGCCAUUUUUCCACUCUUGGUCAUAUGACUUUCAUUUUCUUUAACAGCAUUUAUAGCUUUCUAAAAUUAUCUCAUUUUUAAUUAAUAUCUUUAUCAGAACCUACUAAGGAAAGUGAGUUUCAUGAAAGCAAGAACAUUGUUUGAUUCAAUACUGUGUUUCCUAGACUUAAAAUUAAUUAUACCACUGAAAAUAAGAUUUGUGUCUGUUGUCCACAUUAUCUUUUCUAGAUACUUUCUGUAGUCUCCAUUGCUGAUAAAAUUCUGAGUUCUCUACUUCACAUUUUUGCUGCAUAGACCCAGAGGUUGUUUGUCUUACCCUUAUUUAUAAAGUUGGAACUUUUUUCUAAUAUUCUAGCUAUCAGAUAUAAACUGAAAAACUUGUAAAAGCAAUUAAUAUAUGGUAGCCUGACUUAAAAUCAGGUGAUUAAGGAUAUAGCAUAAGAAUCAAAGCAAAAGUAAUAGUUUCCUGCCCUUUUAAGCACAUCUGUUAUACCUAUUAGCUUCCUGUGAUUUUUUCAUCCAAUCUAAUAACAGGAAAUGUAUAAUUAAACAUUGAAAGAUUUCAAGAUGUUAUAAAGACAUUUAGAAAUCUAAAAUGUAUUUUAAAAUUUUCCAUAAUGGCUUUCCCAAAUGAAAUGAAAGGAAGAAUUAUAGCACAAUUUUCUUUCAUUUUCCUCAGAAAUAACAAAUUUUAUUCUAUUCUUUCACGGGUUUUUUUUUCGUUUUUCAUCGGUACCAGGGAUCGAACUCACGACUGCCUGCUUGCAAGACAGGCGCUAAAUCCCCAGCCCCCUCAGUUUUUAUUUUUUAUUAGUAUAUGUUUGCAUUACAUAAUGGUUGAAUUUGCUGUGGGGAGUUGUAAUAUGUACAUAAGAGAUCUUGGUUUUUUUUUUUUUUAAAUCCCCUUUCCUUUUUCACUUAAAAAAACAAUAUAAUAACUAGCAAUUCAUAUGAGUCCAUCCUAAUAUUUCUAUAUUCCCACCUGCUCCUGCUACUCUACCCUGAUUAUUCAGAAGGAAAUUUAAAACACAUCACAUAAUCUAUAAAUAUUUCAAAAUUUAUCACAAAUAUAUAAGAAUGCCUUUAAAAUAUUAUUACUAACCCAUUACCAGGGUCAGGGAUUUAGUUGAGUGGCACAAGCACCUGCCUGGAGGUGCAAGGUCAUGAGUUCAAUCCCUGGUUCAAUUAAAAAAAAAACCACACACACACACACACACACACACACACAUACACACAAAACAAAACUACCAACAGUGCCCAUGGGGCUGAGGUAGACUCGGGCCCCACCUGCAACUCCAGCCCUCUCCACAGAUAAUCUGGCAGGACUUGGGAACUCCAGCCAGAGCAGCAUGAAAUGACAAUCCAGCAGUUUCAAGAUGAUGCCAAGAGAAACAAUAUAAGACUAAUAGGCAUCAGUGAAUGCAGGAGUCGAUGCAAAUGGAAUACUAAAAUAUUCACAGAAGUUAUAGCAGAAAAUUUCCCAAACAUGGGGAAAAAAUCAGAUAUGCAGGUAAGUGAGGCAUCUAGAACAUCAAACAACUAACCAACAUAAAUCUACAUCCAGACAUAUAACAAUUAAGAUCCCAGGUAUGCAGGAUAAAAAAGAAUACUAAAAGCUGUUAGAGAAAAGACACAACUCACCUAUCAAGGAAAAGCCCAUCAGAAUAACAGCAGACUUUUCAGCACAAAUCCUCAAGUCAAGACAACAUUGGAGUGAGAUACUUCAAGCCCUAGAACAAAACAACUUUCAACCCAGACUAUGUACCCAGAAAAACUCUUUCAAAUUUAGUGGAGAAACAAAAUACUUCAUGACAAAGAACAACUGAAGAAAUUCAUGUCCACCAAAUCAACCCUAGAAAGAAUAGUGAAAGACAUACUAGAUAGAGAUAAAAAUGACCACAAUACCCAGAACAACAACAGAAAGAAACCACCAGGUAGGACAAGCAAUUAAACAAAAGGGAAAAUAAGAAAGCAAACAACUGGAACAUAACAUGGCAAAGUAGAGCCAGUGCAUAUCAGUUAUAACCAUAAAUGUAAACGGCCUCAAUUCACCUAUCAAAAGAAAUAGGUUGACAGAAUGGAUCAAGAAACAUGAUCCCACAAUAUGCUGUAUACAAGAAACACAUCUGACCCAAAAGGAAACUUACAGAUUAAAAGGCAAAGGGUAGAAAACAGAAUUCCAUGCAACAGGAACCUGGAAAAGAGCAGGGGUAACCAUUCUAUUUGCAGACAAUGUGAACUUCAAACCUAAAAUGAUUAAAAGAGAUAAAGAAGGUCACUAUAUACUCGUUAGCAGAAAAAUUCAAGAGAAAGCACUAACAAUUAUAAAUAUAUAUGCAUCAAAAACAGGAGCACACAACUAUAUAAGACAAAUGUUUAUGGACUUGAAAAACCAAAUACAUGAGGACACAAUUAUAACAGGGCACCUUAAUAUCCCAUUAAAACAAAGAGAUAUAUCAACUAGACAAAAAGUCAGCAAAGAAAUAAUAGAACUGAAUCAUACCUGUAAGCAACUGGACUUAGUAGAUGUUUACAGAGUAUUCCACCCAACCACAUCAGAAUACACAUUCUUCUCAGCUGCACAUGGGACUUUCUCUGAAACAGAUCAUAUAUUGUCCUAGGAAGCAUUCUUAAGUAAAUGCAAAGGUAUCAAAAUUAUCCCAUGUGUAAUAUCUGACCAUAGUGCACUGAAACUGGAAAUUAUGGCAAAACCCACAUAAAUACAUGGAAAUUAAAUAACCAGCCUUUGAACAACCAGUGGGCUACAGAUGAAAUUAAAGAAGAAAUAAAGCAACACCUACAAUUUAAUGAAAAUGCAGAAACAACAUACCGCAAGCUGUGGGAUGCAAUGAAAGAGGUCUUAAGAGGGAAAUAUAUAGCAAUAAAUUUUGUCAUAUCAAGAAAACAGAACAAGUACAAAUAAACUAAUGCUUCAUCUCAAGCUUCUAGAAAAGAAAGGCAAGGUAAACCCAAAGCUCACGGAACAGAGGAAAUUGUAAAGAUUAGAGCAGAAAUCAAUGCAAUUGAAACAACAACAACAAAAAAAUACAUGGAAUUAAGGAAUCAAAAAGCUGGGUUUUUUUUUUUUGAGAGAAUAAACAAAAUUGACAAACCUCUAGCUAACCUUAGAAAGAAAAAACCCAAAUUCACGCAAUAAGGACUGAAAAGUGGGAAAUUACUACAGAUCUCAUGGAAAUUCAAAAGAUCAUGAAUACCUACUUUGAAAAUCUCUGCUCACAUAGAGUGGAAAACAGAGGAAAUGGACAGAUUUCUAGAAAUACAUGGGCUACCAAAGCUCAACCCAGAAGAUAUAACAAUUUUGAAUAAGCCAGUAUCAGCUACUGAAGUUGAAAAUGUAAUUAAAACUUACCAACAAAGAAAAGCUCUGGUCCUGAUUGGAUUCAUCACUGAAUUCUAUAAGAAAUUUAGAUAAGAUUUAAUACCAAUACUCCUUAAACUCUUCAAUGAAAUUGAAAAGGAAGCAAUUCUCCCUAAAUCAUUCCUGGAGGCAAGUAUUACUCUGAUACCAAAACCAAAGAAACAUCCAAUCAAACAGAAGACCUAAAGGCCAAUCUCACUAAUGAACAUUGAUACAAAGAUUCUCAAUAAAAUACUGGCAAAUAGAAUGUAGCGAAUCAUCACAAAGAUAUGUAUCAUGACCAAGUGGGAUUUAUUCCAGGAAUACGGGGAUGUUUUAACAUACACAAAUCAAUAAAUGUAAUACACCACAUCAACAGAGCCCAAAACAAAAAUCACAUAAUUAUCUCAAUAGGUGCAGAAAAAGAUUUUGAUAAAGUCCAAUACAUAUUAGAUGAUAAAAACCCUUCAGAAACUCAGAAUACAUGGUGUCUAACUCAAUCUCAAAAAGGCCAUCUAUGACAAACCAGUAGUCAACAUUAUACUAAAUAAGGCAAUAUGAGACUAUCCUAUCAGUGAAAUAAGAAUCAUAUUUAUAAAUAUCACAUUGUAUCUCUAGGGUAAAAAGUAAUAAGAACUGUAGGAGUAAUAAAAACCAAAAUGUGCAACUGCAAUUGCUAUUGUAAAAAAGAGAGGAAAAGAAAGUGAUCUUUAGAUAUAACUGCAUGUAUGUUUAAAUGGUUAAGAUAGAUGACCAUAUUACCAACUUUUUGUUGGAUCAUUGAGCAGAACUGUUUGCAGUCUUAUUGUUUUAAUGUUUACUUUGUAAGCUUUAAUUUUGUAACUUGAACAACUAUUUCUAAGAUGACAGUAUAUAAUUUAUCAACUAGUGAUUUCUUACUGUUUAUUUUUUUUAAAUUCGGUAUUAUUACUACCUUUUUUCUGUUUUAAUUUUUUUCUCUUUAAAUAAAAAUUUUAAAAACUAAACCAUUACCAUGAUAUGUUGUUAAACAAUUAAUCCUCAUAUUAUCAAAUACUCUCAUUUAUGUUAAUAUUUUCUAAAUUUUCUCAAUUUUAUAUAAUUUAUUCAAAUACUGAUCCUUAUAAAGUCCAUUUGGAGCAUUGUAAAUAUUGUUGUACCUCUUGGAUCCCUUUUAAUUUAUAGAUACCUUUUCUAUCUCAUUACUCUGUAUGGAGAGAGGCUGGUUAUUGGAAGAAUUAACCAUGUGACUAGCUACCUAGACUUCUAGAGAGUAAGGAAGGCCCAAAGACUGAGUCCAAUCACAUGACCUGUGAUUUAAUCAGUCAUCCCUACAAAAUGAAACCCCAUAUAAACAAUUGAAACAGUGAGGUUUGGUGAACUUUUAGGUUUGUAAACACAUUAAUGAGUUAGUAGAUUGGUACCCUUCAAGACAUCAUAGAAGCUCUGUCCCCAUCUACCUAUACACCUUACUACUCUAUUUUUUCUCUUCUAGCUAUUUAUUCCUAACCUUUAUAAUAAUACAUUAAUUUUAAGUAUAAUGCUUUCCUGAAUUGCCUGGGUCUGUGAACCUAAGGGAUAUGUGGGAACCAGGUUGCUGGUUGGCCAAAGUAUGGAUGGUGCUCUGAACUUACAGUUUACAACUAAAGUAAGAGUAACAUUACGAGACUGAUCCCCCAAUCAGUAGAGUAUAUGCUUUCAGAUGAGGCUGGAUCUGAAAGUGUUGGCUUUAAGUACAACAGUCUAUUGAAAAUCCUAACCCAUGGCCAAGCAGAUACAAGAGGGUUAAUUGCAUUCUCCACCUACCAAUGUGAACAAGGACAUGCCUCAGCUCAAAUGAUUGCUACAGUCUGGAGUAUAUCGACAGAAGGGCCCUGGAGCAUGGAGGGCACUUUGCAAAUCCAUAGGCCAUAAAUCUAGGCGGAGAAAAUCAUGACUUUCUGGAUUCAAAAGACAGAAAUUUCUAAAAAGAAACAACUUGUUUGAAAACCAAAGGAAUAUUUUAAUAUUCCUGAUUGAUUGAAUUUUUUCAUUAGUUUCUUGGGGCUUGAUUUUUUUCUUUUUUCUAUUUUCUAUUUAAUUUUUUCCUUUUUCUUUUCUUUUGCUUUGUUUUUUUCAGGAUCAUUCUUUUCUAUUACUGUUAUCUAAUACUACUAAUUCUUUUAUUCUUCAAUAAAGUUUUACAUGUCAUUUUCACUUUCAGCUGCAAUUGAUUAAUAUUUCAAAUUUUAUUUUCAAUAUUCUCUGGAUAUCCACUAUCACUAUCUUUACUAGUACAACCAUUAAAUUUUAUUAAGUUUUAGACAGUUAACUGUGUGCUGUAACUGUUGAAUAUUGAUCUAAUGCUAGUAGAAAUAAAAUUUUUCCAUUUAGUAGAUAUUUACUGCAGAUCAAUAUUUUGUUUGUUUUAGCACUUGUAUUAUAAUUAUAGAAUUCUUUGCUGUGGUUAAGGAUGGUACAUUAUUGGCUUUUAGAGCAUGUCAGUAUAUACUUUGUCUUUGACAUUGUUGUUGCUGAUUUUAUUACUAUAGCUCAGGUAAUAUAGUUGUCAUCACUUGAUUUUCUCCAUAUGCCAAUGUCUGGGUUAUCUUAGUGUCAUUAACAAUACUGUGAUCCAUUCCCAGAGAAGUGGGUACUGAGCCAAUAACACUGCACCUUCUGCUCCCAUAUAAACAGAGGUGGUGGGAUUAAGGGAUAGAAGCAAAAGCCUAUAGUUAACCAUAACCAGAGUGCACCACUGAUUGAAAAGUAUACAGUAACUAAAAAAAUUCUCAUAUACUAGCAACAAAGUCAUUCACUAUCAUGAAUUUGUAAACCUCAGUACAAAAAAACCAGCCAACCAAAUAACUAGGUACUUGAGAAGACAAGAUAAGAAAAUGCCUCUAAAAACUACAACUCCACCAAAGUAGAUCCAUGGGGCAUCAAAGAGGAGGAAAUUAAAAGCUAUAUAGCCAAAUUUUUCAAAAGGUAACAGAGAUUUUAAAAAAUAUCACGAAGGUGCUUAGUAGGUUUAAAGAAGAUAUAUCUAAACAGAUAAUGCACUUAAUGUUUAAAGAAAGAUCAGAGUUAACAGAUGACACUAAUGAAAUGCCAGCAGAGCUAGACAAACUACACAAAAAAUGAAUCUUCAAUACAGAAAAGAAUUAGAGUCCAAAAACAGAUAACAAACAGAAAUUCAAGAGAUUAAAAAUUCUACUGAAAUCAGGGGCAGCAAAAGCAACCAAUGUGAAGAAGAAUGUAUCAGAACUACAAUAAAGAACUGUAGAAAGUGACCAUGUAUGCAGAUACACCUUCACAACAAGAGAGCAUGAAAAUUGGAUCCAAAUACUGAGAUAGCCCAAAGUAGACUAAUUUAAGAUUAAUUAAAAUUAAUGAAAAAUAAGAAAACACCUCAAAGGACAUACAAAAACCUGUUUACUAAAAUAAUAGCAGAAAACUUUCAAAAUAUAGGGAAGAAGUUUGACCUGCAGAUAAGUGAUGCAUAUAGAACUAAGCCAUGAUAAGAGGAGAACAUUUUUAUGAUACCCAGAAGUCCAAAAUAAGAACAGAAUCUUUUUUGGGAAGGGAGUGAGGAUCAAACUCAGAACCUUGUGCUUGCCAGGAAGGCAUUUAUGCCACUAAGCUAAAUCCCCAGCCCAAGAACAGAAUCGUAAAAGCAUUAAAGAAAAGCAAUGAAUCCUUUAUAAAACCCACUAGAAUUAUAGAAGACUUCUCAAUACAAACUCUAAAGGGCAGAAGAGCUUUGAGUGAAGUGUUUAAAGCCCUAAAAUAAAACAACUUUCAACCCAGACUGAUGCAUCCUGCAAAAUUAUAUUUGGAAGUUGAUAAAGAAAUGAGACAUUUCCAUGAUAAAGAAACUAUCAAACUUAUCACUCCAAAAAAAUUCUCAAGCAUAUCCUAGAAAGAGAAAAAGCUGCUAGAAUGUCAAAAGGCCCAAUGGAAUGAAUAUACCAGUAGGGUGAACAGUUAAGUAGAUGGGAAAGAAAGGGAGUCAGUAACAGGAAAAUAAUGCAUUGACUGGAAUAAGUCAAUACCUUUCAGUAAUAAUAACUCUUAAUGUGACUGGUCUCAAUUCUCCAUCAAAAGACAUAGGUUGACAGAAUGGAUUAAGAAACAAGAUCUGACAUUAUACUUCAUACAUGAAAUACAUUUAACCCAAAAAGAAAUUCAGUUUAAAAGAUGGAAAAUAAUAUUUCUUGUAGGAGUAACUUCACUAGUGUAGCAAGAUACAAAAUUAACACACAAAAAUCAAUAGCAUUCUGUAUACCAAUAAUGAAGUUACCAAAAAGAAAUUAGAAAAACAGUACUAUAUAAUUCACAUUAAUAGCAAGAAAAAUCAAGUUAUGAGUAAUUAACCUAAACAAGAAAAUGAAAAUCAUAGCAUUCUGAUAAAGACUGAAAAGCACACCAGAAAAUGGCAAAUUAUUCUCUGGUCCUGGAUAGACCAAAACAAUAUUGCAAAAAUGGCCAUACUUCCAAAACUGACAAAUAGAUUUAAUGCAAUCCAGAUUUUCAAAAAAAGACACUAUUCCUCAUAAAACUGGGUGAAACUAUUCUAAAAUUCAUAUAGAACCAGUAGAGAUCCACAGAAAGUGCCAUGUGCCACUUAGAAGAAUGUGUAUACUGUUGUUGGGUGGGAUACUCUGCAGAUAUCUGUUAAAUCCAUUCAUUGAAAGAUUUAACUCUGAUAUUUCUUUGAUUUUUUUGUAUAGUUGAUCUAUUUGUGAUAGUGAAGUCCUCCACUAUAACUGUGCUGAUAUUUAUCUGAUCUUUUAUGUCCAGUAGUGCUUUUUUAUGAAGUUGGAACACUAUUGUUUGGUGCAUAUAUAUUUAUAAUUGUUACUUCUUCUUGUUGAAUUAUACCUUUGCUCAAUAUGUAUUGGCCUUCCUAAAAUAGAAAAGCAAAAGCAGUCCUGGAUAAUAAGAGCAAAGUAGGAGACAUCAUAAUUCUGGAUUUGAAGUUAUAUUAUAAAACUAUAGUGACAAAAUCAUGGUACUGGCCCCCAAACAGACAGAUGGAUCAACAGAACAGAAUACAGGAUACAGAAGAAACUGCAGGUACAUUCAGUGAUCUUAUCUUUGACAAAGGGGCCAGAAACGUAUUCUUUUUUAAAAGCACUGUUAAGAAACCUGGCUACUCACAUGCAGAACAUUGACUCUAGGCACAUAUCUCUCCCCAUGCACUAAAAUAAAAUCAAAAUAGAUCAAAGACCAAAAUGUUAAGAUAGAAAUAAUUUUCUGAAUGAUAAAACAGAUAAAAUUUUUGAAGGCAUAGGCAUAGACAAAAAUGUAUCUAAACAGAAUCCCAAUUGCAUCAGAAGUAACAAAAAUCAACAAAUGGGAUCAUAACAAAUUAAAACUUAUCUGUACAGCAAAAGAAACAACAGAGUGAAGAAAAAUCUAUAGAAUGGGGAACAAUUUUGCCCUCUGUUUCUCAGACAGAGGACUACUAGAAUAUAUAAAAAAAUUUUAAAAAUUAGACCCAUCUCCAAAUGAAAGAUGCAAUCAAAAAAUGAGCAACUGAAAUGAAUACAACAGUUCUCAGAACAAAAAGUACAAACUGGCAAUAAAUACAUUUAAAAAUGUUCAACAUUCUGCCAUUAGAGAAAUGCAAAUUAAAACACACUGGGAUUCCAUUUUACUCCAGAAAGAAUGUCUAUCAUCAAGAAAUUAAAUAACAAAUACUGGCAAGGCUGUGGGGAAAUAAUAACCCAUCUGCACUGAUGGUGGGGAAAUAUAAACUAGUGCAACUACUAUGGAAAUUAGUAUGGAGAUUCCUUAAAAAUCUAAAAUUAAGAGUUCCAUUGAACUUUGCUAUUCCCUUUCUAGGUAUCUUUCCAGAAGAUAUCAUGUGAACCCAUGUUUAUAGCAGCACAAUUCAUGAUAGCUAAAUCUUGAAGGUGGCCUAUCCAUCAAUAGAUGAAUGGAUAAAGAAAAUAUAUGGGUACACAAUGGAGUACUACUGUACCAUAAACAAGCAUAACGUCAUUUGUAGAAAAAUGAUACACCCUGAAGCUAUAAUGUGGUGAUAUUAGUCAGACACACAUUUAAAUAUCAAAUGGUUUCUUGUAUAUGGAAAAAGAGGAAGUAAAGAGGAUGAAGAAAAUAAUUCUGAUGUGUUAUGUAUAUGUACCAAUUCCCCAUGAGGAAUAUAUUCAUCAUAUAAUGCAAAUAUCUACUAAUAAAAGUAUUUUAAAGAAGUUAAAAUAGAAUAAAAAUAUAAGUGUGGAAUUUUGUAUUACUUUCACUUAUAUUUCUCUGUAAGCCAGCUUUGUUGAGCUAUAAUUCACAUACAAUUAAUCACAGUUGUAAGUAUUCAAUCUAAAUUUAGUAAGUGUAUACAACCAUGUAAAUACCAGUAAAAUUAUGAUAUAAAACCUUUACAUCUUCAAAAAAAUAUAUAUCCAUUUUUGAGCUUUUCAACUUACUCCCAUUUUUAGCAUACAAACUAUCAAAACUCUAAUAGUCUAAUGUUAUAGUUUAUUUAUUGUGUCAGUUUGAGAAGUUUAGAAACUUACCUAAGUAACUCAGCAUUUCUACAUCCUAGGGUGUAGAGCUAAGCCCUAGGGAGGCUGUAUAUGUGCAAGGUUAUUGCAAUGAUUGCUUCAUUGUGUCAACUUUAGUUUAAAAGUUUAACUAAGUGACUCAGCAGGAGACCGUGAUUGUUACUUUGUAAACAUCCUGAGCCUGUGCAAGAGGAGGGCAAGGACAGGGCAUGAGUGCCACAACCCACCCCAGGACAGGUAGCCCACUUACAAUGGGAGGAAAAGAGGCUUGCUCCUCUUUCCCCCUUUUUGCUUUUGUUGCUUUUGCUGCCUUCCGCUGUCGUGAAUUUUUGCCCCUCUGCCAUGCUGCCCUGCAUUGGAAUCAGUUGAUUAUGAACUGAAACCUCUAUAAAUUAUGAGUGAAAUAAGUCCCUUCCGCUUUAACUUUGGGUGUUGGGUAUUUUGUCCUAGCAAUGAUAAAAAAGUAAACAACACACUUAAUCUAUUUUUCUUCUCCCACAUUUCUUGUUGCCUUCCAGGCAUCUUUCCUUCUAUUCUUACUCAUCUACUCUUUCUUUUCUUUUUUUUUUUUUUUUAAGUGACUCACAAGAGUCACUGUAACCCUGUUAAAGUAAGGCUUUUUUGUUUUGUACCAGACUAGCCAAGCAGGUGCUUGUGCCAAUGAGCUAUAUCCCUGGCCAAAGUGAGCCUUCUUGCAAUCCGUUCUUCUAAAACAUAAGCCUCAACAAUCACUGAUAAGCUCUCUGGUUAUAGCCUUGCUUGCUCUAGAAUGUUAUAAAAAGAGCACUAUAAAUUAGUUAUUGUUUUGUUCUGCAUUUUCUCAUUUUGCUUAAUGACUGAAAUUCAUCAGUAUGUUGCAUUCGCCAGUAAAUUCAUCAUUUAUAUUGUGGUAACUGUCAGUUGUCUAAAUAGCUUAUAUUUUAUUCAUUCAUUUAUGAGUUGAUAGACAUCAGGGUUGUUACCAAUUUUUAGCUAUUAUAAAUAAAACUUAAAUGAACAUUCACUGAGAACAUUCACUGAAAAAAUAUAUGUGUGGGAUUUCUGAAUCUUACGUUUAUAUUCCGAUUUUUAAGAAAUUGCCAUCCAAGUCUCCACCAUGAUUAGAACACCCUCUAGCAAUUGUAUGAGUACCAAUUAGCUCAUAUUAUUGCCAACUUUUUGUUGUUAAUCUUUUUGCUUUUAGCUAUUCUAGUAGAUACGUAGCGUGGUAUCUACCUAGUCUUUACAUUGCAUUUCCCUGGAAGCUAAUAACAACAAGCAUCCUUUCAUAUAGUAACUGGUUAUUCAUAUAUCUUCUGCUAAUGCUUGUUCAAAUAUUUUGCCAAUUUUUAUUAAUUUGUGUUAUUACUAAGUAAUAAUAGUUCUUAAUAUUCAGAAUAUUGAUCUUUUCCAUAUAUUUUAGUAGUAUUUUCUUCUGUGAUGUCUUUUCACCUUCUUGUGUCUUUCAAAAAGGGAAAUUAUGAAUUUUGAAGUAGUCUUAUCAAUUAUUUUUUCUUGCAUGCUUAGAACACUUUGUCACCCACCCAAGAAAUCUUUAUCCCAAGAUCACAAAAUUAGUCACUUAGAUGUUUUAGGAAGGUCCCCUUGGAGUCAUGAAAUAUAAAUAAUUGACUUUAAUUAAUCAGCUCAAUUUUUUGCUAAAUUCUAGCUUUACGUUCUAUCAAAUGAAUUCAUUGGAAUUAAUCUAAUGUACAACUUUAUUAUAAAGUGGCAACUUCCAAUCACAUGAUUUAUAAAAGCCCAGAUAAGUUAGCUCCUAUUUAAAAGUAUAAAGAAUAGUGUUCUGUAAAAAUACAAAUGACCAAAUUACUGAAUUUUGCACUCACCUUUGUUUUCAAGAAUGUUGGUCUCAUCCAGAAUUAUAUUUAGAUCUACCUUUACAUUGGCUAAAAAAAAAAAAGAAUUUAGACAAUAGAAUGCUUUACAUAUCAAAUCUAUUAUAAUACUUGAAAUAUAAAUUAAGAUUUGACAUAAUCAGAAACUGCAAUAAUAAAAAAGAAAAGAAGACACUGCAGUGAUGGGAUGAGAACCAGUCUGCACUAAGCUCUUCCUGUCCCCAUUUCUAGUGCAGACACUGUUGAAACUCUAACUAGGUAGCCACUUUUUCUUCCCCCACACUUCUUGCUGUCUUUCAGGCCUCAUCUUUCCUUCUAGUCUUCUGCACCUGCUCUUUUAUUUUUCUUUACCUGUUUUCUUUUUUUAAGUGACUUCACAGGAAUCAUUCUCAGAUAUUACUUAUGCCUGCCCGUAAUACCAAAGUUUUUAAAGAGAAGACAAUAAUUUUAAUUGGAUUUUCAUUUUAAUACACAUUUAAAAGGAUGAAAAUUAACUUUAAACCCCUAUGGCCAUAUUAAUUAAUGCAAGCAGAAUUUCCAGAAGACUUUUUUCCUAAGGAUGGUAAGAGAAAGUAGAUAAUCUCAAGAUAUUCUUGACUUUCUCCACUUCUAUGAGCAGAUCAUUUGAUGUCUACUCAAAUAGAGAAGAAAAUUUUUUGACACAUUUAAGAUUGAACCUUUCUGAAUAUAUUUCAAAGUUCCAGUAUAGCAGAGUAGCUGUAUUUUAGUGUAUCCUUAUAGUCUAACUUUCUCUGAAAAUAUUAUUAACCCUAGAAAUGCUUACUGUCAACUGGCAAAUGUUCUUGUAGACUCUGCAAUUCAUUGUUUGUGAGUUCCACUUCCAUCUUCUCGGGAACACUGCUUUGCUUUUUAGUAUUAAUUUCUCCUCCUCAAAAAAGAUAGUAAAAGUAUAUAUUUAUAGAACAUACAGUGAACACUAUUUCUAUGUGUUGUACUUUUCAGUUUCAAAGUAAAAAGCAAGGCUGCACAAUGAAUUUGUUCCAAAUUCACAGCAAAUAAACAGAAAAAUCAGAAAUAGAACCAGACAUCAUUAAUCCUUGUUCAAAAAUCAGAAAUAUACCUCCUGAUGACCAUUUUAAACCAAAAAUGUGAAGCUGAUAAUUGUUCAUCACUAAAUUUCACUAAGUAGAAAAUAAUUCAAUUAUUUUGGCUACUGUUUAGUACCUGUACUGGGAACAAAAUAUUUACUGCUUUCUAUCCCAUUUCAUUCUUUUAGACUUCUACUUAGUUAUUUAGUUACUGAAGAUUUAUACUAUCAGUGUUUCUGUGAAUAUCUAGAUAAUAAAAGCCAGAGUAAAUUAUUUUAGAAAGAGAUAUAAAAGAUAUCACAAAGUUGUCAAAUAUCACAGUAGUAUAUAUUUUAUACCCAUAGAAGGAACUCAGUAUCAAUGAACAUAAAUCAUAUAUCAAUCAAUAAAAUAAGUAUUGCACUUUCUUAUCCUUAAAAAAUAUAAACACUAAGAAAACCAAAGCCAAAAAUUUCAAUGCAAAAUAUAUAAUAAGAUUAAAAAUAUACCAAAAUAUAGACAUUGAUUAUCUUUGCCUUUGGUUUGAAAUUGGAGAUUUUCUUUUGUCCUUAUUAUGUGUCCUGUGUAUUCUCCAACGUUGCAUAUUAUAAGUAUGCAUGCCUAUAAGCAUGAAUAAACAAUAGGUUUUGUUAAAAUAUUAUUGCAAAAACUUAAGAGUGUAGUUUUAUAUUUUCUUAUGGUUAACUCAUCUUUUAGGGUCUGCAUGAUAUUCAUCAACUUAAGCUGGCUUAUUUUCCCAUCAGCUAUCAGAAAAAAAAUAAAAAGAUUUAAACAGAAGUAAUAAAAUAUGGGAAGCCAAACCAAAAGCACUGUAACUUAAAAUUAUAAAAAUUGAUGUAAACAGAAAAUCUUUUACAUUUUAAAUUACUUGUUAAAUUGAAAAGAGAAAUGUAUGUGCAUUUAUAAUAUGUAACAAAGUUUUGAUGCAUACAAUGGCUAAACCAAGCUAUUUAACACAGGAUUGUCUCACAGAACUUCAUGGUAAUAACCCAAAAUUUACUCUUAGCAGUUUUUAAGUAUAUAAAAAAUUAACUACAAUCACCAUGAUGUAUAUAUAAGAGAUUAUUCAGGAUUCAUUACUCAUGUCUAACUGAAAAUUUGUAUUCUUUGACCAAAAUAUCACAUUAAAACCCAAUAUUUUAUGAAAUUGAUAAAGACUAACAAAAUAUAUUUUAAAAUAUGGACCCAGAAAUGAUAUACACUGUAUGGGAAAUGAUUAAUAGGUUUUUAAAUUCCUUACAUGUAAACUCAAACCCUAUAUCAUCUAGGAAUUUGUCCUGGUUUCAAAAUUUAAUUUUUUUCUUUAAGGACAUAGAAAAGCAAAUAACAAAAAGUUGUGAUUUUUAAAAAUAAUUUAGAGGUAUGAAAAUACUGUGCUUACUGCCAUAGAGAAAAAUAAAGUUGUUCAAUAGAACACAGACAGGCUGGGAUACUGAAAGCCCUAGGUUCGUCCUAAUCACUGAACAAAAUAAAAUUUAAAUACAAUACAGGGAGUCGAAUAGAAAUAGCUCUACGUAAUUAUGCAUCAGUAGAUUGUGAUAAUUGGCUAAUGAUAUUUUUUUGCUAAAUUCACUUGUUAUUUUAACAUUUCUUUGGUAUACUCUUCGAAGUAUUAUCUUUGAAAUUAAAUAUGACCAUGAAAAUCAGUGCUUUUUUUCUAAUCUGGUGUGUGUUUUUGUGGUAACAAGGAUUGGACCUAGGGCCUCAUGUAUGCUAAGCAAAGCACUCUGCCAUUGAUCUACAUCCCCAAUCCUUAUUGGUAUGCUUAGUUUUCCUUACUAGUGUGAAGAAAUUUACUUUAAUUCUUAAUUGCAUGUGAGUUAACAUCAUAUAUGGAUGCCUGGUUUUGUUAUUUCAGUAAAAAUCGUGUGUAUUAUAUUUACAAACCUAACCAAUAUAUUUUAUUUUAUGAACUGUAUAAGAAAAGCAAACCUUGAACACUUCAAUAGAUGUAGGAAAAAUAUUUCACAAAAUUGAGGGAAAGAAGAAAGAUACAUACACAACCAAUGGAACAGUGUUAAAAAUAUGCAUUGGGAAAAAUAAGCCUCAGAAAAAUAGAGGAAAUUGUAGAACAUGAAAAAUGAACCUAGAUCUCAGUCUCCAUACAUAGAUCAACUUAAAAUGGAUUAAAUACUAAGUGUGAGACCUAAUACUUUGAAGCCAUUAGAAGAAAAUAUAGAAGAAAUGUUUCAGGGAGAAAGCUGUUGGAUAAUACUCUAAAAGCACGGAAAACAAAAAUAUAAAAAUGGCAUUAGAAACAAAGUAUGGGCAUAGCAAAGGAAACAAUCAAAAUGGACAGAUAAUUUAUGAAAUAAAGAUAAUAUUUGCAAACUACGUAUCUAAUGAGGUUAAUAUCUGAAACAUGUAAUAAACUCAAACAUCUCAUUAAUAAAAAAAAGCAAAUGAAAGUAAUCUAAUAGACCUCAUAAACAUUUCUCAAAAGAUACAGUGCCUGUGUGGCAAAUGCAAGGUCCUAAGUUCAAUUCCUGACACCAAAAAUUAUAUAUAUCUACGACUAUAUCUGUAUCUAUAAAAUAUUACCACAGAUAGUAUGUAAAUGUUUAACAUUCAUUUUACUUAUUCAAUAUUCUAGCCCUAAUUUCUACUACUGCCCACUUAUUCAGUGACAAGCUUUCACUCACCUAUAGAUGCCUUUCUCUCUUUCAUCCAAUUCUUCUCCCCUUUAUUAUCAGCUAUAAAAUAAGGGACUAAUUAGAUCAUAAAAGUAAGUCAAAUGUACAUGAACUUUAUAAAAUCAUCAGUGUUAAACAGCAAUUUUGUGACAUGUUGAUACAAAAUAUGACCUCAUUUAAUUCUAACUAAAUGUAAAACAUGGAAGUGGGGAAGUCCUCAAGAAUUAUUAAUGAAGAUUCUUGCUUCUAGGAGAUAAUGAAUCAAUUAUAAAACAAGAUACUAUUGAAAUGAAUCACAGACACCAAAAAAUCAGUAUUAAGCUUUUCAGUUUCUUUCAGAAAGCUGUAAGUUCCAUUUUAGAUGAGGGAGAGCAGACAUGCCUAUUCCACUAAUGUAAGGAAGAUGGGGUACAUAUCUUUAGUUCCUUAUUACCUAACAAAAGUAAAACUUUCAAGUAAUCAAUUGCAGUGAGCUGUCCCUUCUAAUAUUUGUAUAUCAACCAAAAGGGUGAAACUUCUGCCUUAUACGGCAUUAGGAAUCCUAAAAGGAUCCUGCACAGAAUUUUUGAGAAACUAUGGCAAGAAGAGAGUAGAGAAGAAAUGGAUGCGCUGGUAUCUAUGAAGAAAGGUCUCUGACAGUCACCAAAUUUUCCACAUCUCCAGAACAGCAGGCAAAAAUAAUGAAACAUUUUUUAUUGUACAGUGAAAGAAGCAGAGUUUAUAUAAGAUUUCCUAGGUGUGCAUUUAUUUUUUCAGAGACUAUUACCUGUAGGCUAAAGAAAUUCUUCAUGUGUGACAGUUACAGGUCAUUAAAAUGUGGCCUCCUUUUGGGGGCCUCAUCAAAUCAGAUUACCAGAUAACAUUCUGUCAAAAUCCCAAAAGCAGAUGGGCAGUCAAGCUAAAGGGCAAAGCAAAGGCCAACUGCAAGCUAAAACGCCAAUAAAAACAGUCCCAGCUAAGCAUCUGACUCACAGAUGAGGGCAGACUAGAAUCUGAACAGACUGUUGUUGGUAUUAAAGCUUCAGAAAUCUUUAAGUCUGGUAUUUAAAAUCACAUGGUGAUUUUCACUUUUAGUUAAUCUAAGGAAGUUAGAUCCUGUUCUUCCUUUCUUGUUUUGUUUUUGCUUCUGUAUUUUCUUUUCACACAACUGAGUACUUUCUCCAGUUGGCAAGGAAAAGUUGAUACCUUUGUUAGACGUAGAUAUUAGAUGACCAUCUCUCCCCCUGCCUGAGCUGUAUCCCCCUUCCUUCCUGGCUACGUCUCCCUAGUUUUCUAGGCUGGUGUACCUUACUAGAGACUCUUUGCCAUACAGUCAGCUGCUCUCCCUGGAUUGCCAGCCAACAGAAGGUUCUGCAUCAAUUCUUUCUUGAUGUAUCUCACUGGAUAUAUAUAAUGGUCAUUGCAGCUUAAAAGUCAAACCUGCUGAAGCAUUCUCUGGUGUUCUUUCAUUUCCUCUGCACCUUGAGAAAUAACAUCUAUUUCCAGCCAACUGUUAGGGGCAUAGCAUGGUCAUUCUGCUUUCCUAUUAGAUUAUAAUCACCCAGAGAAUCAAAAUGAUGUUUGUUAAAAUUGUAUAAUCUCAAUGUCUGACACAGUGCAUAGACAUAUUGCAUGUAUUAAAUCAAUGACAGAGAUAAUAACAGCCAAUGUAUUUCUACAAAUAUAUACUUACUUGUAAAAAACUAAAAUAGUGAAUAUAUGUCCUUGUUUCUCCGGUACUCUUCAAAUUAAACUUUUAAAAAUCAUAAAAUUUAUUCUUAAGUAGAACAUCUAAAGUAAUUUUUAUUAAUUUUAGUCAUUUCUGCGGCUCUUUCUAUAUGAAUUUCAUAUCAAAAAAUUUUCAUUCUUGAAAGACUUCUCAGAAUACAGAAGAUGUAUGCCAUAUCUGUGUGUAUGUUACCUUCAAUUGAUGAACAGUUUCAGAAUCUCACAAAAUUCUUUACCUGGUAUCUCCAUCCUCAUAUUUCCUAGAAUGGUAUCUAGGUUGCUAACAUCAAUUUUGUCUCCUAAGAGAAAAAUGAAAAUGAUAAAAACUAUGAAAAUAAAUACUAGUGAAUUUCAGUUAUGUAAAAUACCAACUAUAUCUUUGUUAUUAUAAUCAAUUUCAAUAAGAAAUGGAUUUGUGCAAUGUAUUCAGAUGCAUGCAAAGUUAUUCUGUGAGAAAUAAAAUGUCCAAAUACCCAUCAAUCAAUAAAUGGAUAAAGAUGUGUUUUUUCAAUUCAAUGGAGUACUACUCAGCCAAUAAGAAGGCUGAACUUGAGACAUUUCUAAACAAAUGGAUGCACCAUGAGACCAUAGUAGUCAGUGAAAUAAAUAAGGCACACAUGUAUAACUAUUGCCUUGUUUCUCUGGUGUGAGAGGAGAAAAAAGUGUAAUUAAGGACCAAAAUGUAUAAUAGAUAUUGUGAAAUAGGAAGAAAAUGUUCAAAUAUGGAGAACUAGAGAGAGAGGAAGGAGAAAGGAAAGAAGGGGAAAAAAUGGGAAAAAGCUUUUGCAAAUAAUGCAGGAAAGAGAGGUAAAGGGUGGGGGGAAUGGGAAAAAAGAAUCAAGAUAUAUCAUGUAUAGGUACAAAUUCCCUAUGAUGAAUGUGAUCAUUAUAUCACAUUAUUAUUUACAUUAUGUAUAAAAUGUACUAAAAAUUUAAUUUAAAAAAGAAAUAGAAGCAUGUUCACUUGAUCAUUUUCAGGGGAUAAAACUGUAAACCGUAAGAAUUUUUAACCUAGUAGAGGCCAUCUAUGUACAUUGAACAUGACUUGUUGCUAAUAUUAAAAGAAUGAUGAGGAGGUAAUAUUUAACAUUUGGUAUAUAGCUAUAAAAUGGGGAAUCAAUUUUCAGAUAGUACUCUGAGAAAGUUAUUUUCCUUCAAAAUAAUAAAAUCGGUUUCUCUGCCAGCCAGUUCAUCAGCAGUCAUAACAAUUAUAAAGUAUAUGCACUAAAUAAGAAAGCCUAAAACUACACUGAGCAAAAUUCACAAAAUUUAAGGCAGAAAUAGAAACUACAUAACCACAAUUGGAAAUUUUAGUAUAUCUCUCUCAGAAGUUGAUAGAAUAGCUUAAAAACAGAGUACAAAUAGAGGCUGAGAAAACAAUCACCUUACACUAUUUCAUAUUUCUAAAACACUGCACUCUUUGUAAAAUAAACAUUGUUUUCAAAAGCACAGUACAGUCACUAAAAAACUGUAUGCUGGGAAAUAAAACAACUACCAGUAAGUUGGACAGUACUGAAAUUAUGCAGCAAUAUAACCUUUUACCACACUGGAAUUAAAUUAUAAGCAACAAUAAAAUAACUUUCAAAACUCCAAGUAUCUAUAAAUCACACAACAAACUUCCAAAUGGUCUAUAAAUCAAAGAAAAAUUUAUGGGGAAAAAGAAUAUGCCUCAAACUAAAUUAGAAUGAAAACAAAGCAUAUCAACAUUUAUGAGAUGUAAUGAUGUGAAUUUCAAUGAAAACAAUACAUUCAAAAUAAAAAUGGAAAUAACAUUCAAAAAUGCAUAAGGUAGUAAAUAAAGUCAAUAGAAGAAGCAGUGGCUAAAUAUUAAAGAUAGGUAUGAACUAGAUGAUGGAAAAGGGAAUUUGGGUAAUUAUCUAUACAAAGAAGCACAUGGGUUUUUGAGGAGAGAAACUUUCUGAUACUAAAUUUUAAAAGUUAUUUUUCAUAUCCACCACUAAAUAACAUAAUGUGUAACAUCCUCAGGAGAUAUGGUAGUGCUUUCAUAUGGUUGUUAAUGCUUCAUGAAAAACAGAUAAAGUACAUUACAGUUUUAGGAGUUCCUCCAAAGAAGCAAUUUCUACAAAAACAUCUCUGCAAGUAACUUUGGUCUGUCAACACUUUGUAUGUGGUGCCUAUCAUAGAGUGAGAAAUGGCUCAAAAAAGAAUCUUGAGCUUCUUCAACCAUAGAGAACUCUUCGAAAUGUAUAACAUGAUGUGAGUUAGAAGAGGCAGUUUCAGCUUGAAGUCAGAAUUAUUCACCCUACUUAAAAGUACAAAAUAUAAAACAUUCUCUUUUUUUCAGUACUGUGAGAGACAGGAGAGCUCAUCAGAAAACACCGAGGACUGAGAUUACAGAAAUACUAUGUAUAUCAAGGCAAAAA